rnacentral:lncRNA from 1 species
CGGUUUAUAAAUCCUUCUUGACUACCUUGGAGCUUGUGGUAUAGGAACUAGGUUGUUAUAUUUGUUGAUUACUUUCUUGUCUCUCAAAGAACCUAUUCUUUGAGUUCUAUCUCUCGUUUAUUUGCUCUUAGGCAAAUCACAUUGUAGGAUUACAAUGAACUACCCAACAAAACAACAUUUGUUAGUUGGUUUAUAGAAGCGAUAUCCAAAAGUUAAUUUAAGGAUAUCCCACAAGAGAAAUUCAUUAUCUUAUGAUGCUAUUUUCCUUGAUAUCUUUCAAGGAAACUCAUCUAAAGUGUUACCUUUCCUUGGAUCAAAUCUAAGGAGGUAAAUACUUUAGAUGUCUUACUCAUCAACUUACAUUUCUUGAAUUCUUUGAAACCUUUUGCAAAGUAUUCGAACUUGUGUUUAUUCAAAAUAAACUAUAGUCCAACCGAGGGUGAUCUUCGGUGAAUGUCAUCCAACAUGAGUAGUAUUAUGUUGUGGACAAGUGCCACUAACAUCUAAGUGAAUUAACCUCAACAACUUUGUGAUUCUUUCUUCUUUCCAAAAGAAUAAAGAUUCGAACAUUUCACCUCUAUACAAUUUUAAUAAGAAGGUAUUGGAUCCGGAUCUAACGAUCCAAAGCAUCCAUCUAUGACCAACUCGUAAUUUAUGUUUUUAGAGGUAUCACAACUCAGUUGGGAUUAGUCACUACCUUGCAACCUUUUGGGUUUUAAGCAUCAUUUUAUUCUAAACAGUUAACACUACCAUAUCAUCUCUACUAUAGAGACAAUCAAUUAGAUUACUAUAAUCCAAUCAUUGAUUAAUAAAGAACAAUGUUUUGUCAAACAAAACAUUCAUCCAUCUCUACUAUAGUGACGGAAUUAAAUUCCUUAAAAUUGGAAUGUAAAGACAAUCUUUGGUUUUUCCAAUUUCUUUGGUAGUUCAUAUGAGGAAGUAAGUACUAUCUGCUUUCGCAGAGAUCUUUAUUUUAUUCACAUUCCGAAUGUGAAGCACCUUUUUCUUCUCUCAUAUAUCUUCUACUUCUUAUUAGUCACACUUUUACAACGAUUGUAAAACAUAGUUACUAAUACGAAAUCAAGCAUUCAAGUAGAAGAACCAACUGUUUUGAAUUAUUCAAGAACAAUUUACAACACAUUCGAAAGGUGUGUUCUUGACACUUGCAAGACAUUUCUUGCAAAUACCCCUUCCAAUGUCCAUCCUUUCAUAAAGAAAGUUUGUUCCCUUGGAGUUAAUUUUAUAUUCUUCAUUUGACUUCUCCUUUGACUACAAUAGUCAUGAUCCCUAAACUCCCACUAUCUCUCUUGAAACCUUUUUCAAUUGUGUUAUACACAUCAAACAUUUUGGAGAGCAUGUGUUUAUUGUUCACUAUAUAUAGUUUACAAUAAACUUAGUGAACCAUUAGGAUAGGGACAUAAAGGUGAAGUCCUUGCCUAGUUUCCGUCUCGUUAAGUGGUUUAUCACUUCAACACUCAAUGAUUCAAAAUCAUCAUAAGUCCAUGUUGAUGGACUAUUUUUGUCAACCAACCAUUAUGUUCUAAACAUAAUUACAAACUUUCAAGAGUUGUACAAGGCAACUCUCAUUUCUUCAUACAACAAUUUGUAAGUGAAGAAUCAUGGCACAUUAAGUGUCCAUGCCUUUGUGCUUUCUUCUAAAGUUCCUUGUUCAUGUAACAAAGAAACAAGCACUAAUGUUUGCAUUGAUUAAGGGUUGUUCAAAGCAACUCCUAUUUCUUCAUACAACAAAUUGUUAUUGAAGAAUUAUGACAUUAAAAGUGUUGUCCUCUUUAUGAUAGACCUUUUCUAACAUAUUCUUCUAAUGAUACAUUAUCAAUAGGAAGAUUGUGAGGAUGAGACUACUUAGGUAUAUUUACAAGCCAUUAAAGACAAUCUAUGGUUUUGUAGUACCAAGUACGGAAACUAAAGCUUUCGGCUUUUAUUUGUCAAGUGUUGGAUAGCGUUUGCAAAUAUAUUGGUAAACAAAUACAUAACGAAUAUAAAUUGAUUGAUUUUAAGCCAUUUGAUUCGGGUCUUUAAAUCAAAAUAGCACCACCCACUAUUUUUGGCAAAUUCCAUAUCCCUCAUUGGAAUUCGAGAGUUUUGGAUGAAACUCUUAGUAAGGUAUGGGAGGCUCACUAUUACGAAGCCCACCUCAGAAUUAUAUCAUGUUGGCUAGCGUUAAUAAUAAUGAGAGAGUACGCUUACUCAUUUGCAUCUCUUGCAAGUACCCAUCUAAUUUAGCCUCUAGAGAAUGAUGCCUCAGAAUUAUCAUGUUGGCGUCAUUGCACUUAGUUAAGUCAUUCCCACCAUGCCUAGUUCGUGUAGGGGUUCAAGCAUAGCCUCAGAAUUAUAUCAUGUUGGCUAAACUCGUUGCCUACCUCACUUCAUCAUGUAUGUAUAUAGAACUCCUCCUGAGUGUAAGCACGCACUUUGUACUCCCCCAUUAUAGGGUGAAGCCGGUGUACGAGUCACAAACGAUCGGAGCCUACCACGGUGGAAGGCCUCGAAAGAGUGUUCAAAGCACUCUCACGCUUAUCAACUUAAUAAUGGUUUGGUUGAGGGUUUUAGGUCUCAUCACAUAUAAACAUACAUUUUAAUCUCUAUUAAAACAAUUUUGGUCCUAUUACAACUAUUGGUCCAUUUGAUUGUUUUAGUUGUAUAUAAUACUCCCACUAUGCUUAUAAAACGGUUUUUAAAGCAAGAGUAUAUGAUACUACUAACAUAACCUUUGCAUUCAUUUGAUGGACUAUAUAGUUGCCUUAGGGCCUUAGGAUGAUUAUGAACCUUUGUUUAGAUUCAACACGAGCCUUGUGUUGAAUCUCGGUCUAGGGAUGGUGAUUGAUUUUAGUUACGCGUUUAAUCACAUUAAGGCGUGUUGUCUUAGGGGCGUUGGACCCAACUACUUCAUUUUCAUGCAUAUCAUAUAAAGCAAGAAAGAAGUACUUCAAAGUAAAGGUGAGCUUAUGCUCAUUACAACAUUUGCAUAAAACAAAUUACUUUAAAGUAAAGAAGAGCUUAAGCCCUUUUACAACAUUUGAUCAAAUCAAAUUACAACCAAAAUCUAAUCUACACAUUCCCAUGGUUCAAACAAAUUUGAAACGGCCUAUCACAUAGCUCAAUUAUAUUAGGCUUAGGUUCAUAAUCACCCUUUAAUUAAUUAACACUUUAACAAAUUAAAUUGAAUGCAACAUUUUCAUUUGGUUUUUGUAUCCAUAAAAUUGAUUUAAAUGGAGCUAAACAAAAUGAAAAUCCAAUUCUCAUUUAAAGAGACAAAACAAUUUUGUUCUCUACCUAAUUUGGGCCAAUAUGCAAUAACCACAACUUUUGGGCCAUAAAGCAAUUAACCUCAACUUUUGGGCUAUAUUGCAAAACUUUUGGGGUCACUUUGUAAAGACACAAAAGUCCACUACUUCAUGUAAUUACACUAGAACCCAAAAUUUAAUCAAUGCAAAAACUUCAUUAAAGGAGCAAAACAAUUUGUCCUUUAGCGUUUUUGGACCUAAACGUAAAAACGUAAUUGGGCCAAAGUGCAAAUACACAAAAGUAUCAAAACUUUAUGAAAUUGCAUAAAAGACCCAAAAGUACUCCCAUUGAGGGAGGGCCGGUUUUUAGAGAGGGAAAGGGAGUGGAGAUAAGUCCACAAAAAUUUUUUUUGUGGAAAUUUUUUCAACAAUUUCAUAAAGCCUUGCAAAUGGAAUUUGUGACAUAAAUUCAUGCAAGUGGUAUGUGACUUAAAGUCAUGCAAGUGAUAGGUGUGUAAGAGAAGUACUUCUUACACACCUAUCACCAUUUCCAUCACCUUACACAAUUUCUAUCACAUUAAAACAUUUGAUAAAGCACAAAACAAAGACUUUAUGAAAUAAAUCAAAACUUUGAAUCAAAACACAAACCUUUUUGUUCUUGGCAAAAAUGUCAAGAACAAUGAAGAACACUCAUGAAAAAACUCAAAAUUUUCCAUGAACAUUUUUCACCCAAAAACAUUCCAAAACCAUUCAAACUUUAGGGAAAUAACAUCUAACCAAACUAGGGUACAUAGGGGUUCCAAAAGUCACUUGAAAACACUUUUAACAAGUCAAACAAGUACCCAAAAAUCCACCCUUUGGAUUUGGCCGAAAAUCCCCAAAGUCAUGGCACCAAAUUUUAGCUCCAAUAUUCAUGCUCAUAUUAACUACAUCUACAACAUUUGAGAUGGCAAAUUUUCAAACAAAAUUUACAUUCAAAGAAGCAAGAAUAAAGCUUGUAACAAUUACAACUUUUAAAUCACAAACUAUGAACUACAAAACACAAAAGGAUUCACCAACUACUAGACCUAGGCUCUGAUACCACUUGAAGGAUAAUUUUGUGAAAACAUGUUCAUUUAAGCAACAUCAAUAAGCAUGCAAUUAAUAAUUAAAGGCGGAAUCAUGCUUGCAUGCACUUAAAAACAAAACAUUAACCAUGAAAUUCAAAAGCCUAGUAGAUUGGUGAACCAAGACUCAACUCAAAUCAAAGUGAGUUUGAGAAAUAUACCUUUGUAGAUUCCUCUUUGCAUAAGCAAAGGCUAAUCAUCCCAAAGAGAGGGCCUUCAUUCCUUGCAUAUUAAAUCUAUGGAUUUGGAUGGAAGAAUAGGAUUCUCCAAGUUCCCAAAAUAGAGAACCUCUAAGUAUCUUUCACCAAGGUUAGAUUGGAGAAGAAAUGAGUGACCUUGGAGUAGUGGGAUUGCUAGAUGCACCCUCCAAGGGGCCGGCCUCUUUAGAGAGAAAUGGAGAGACAUGUUCUCUCCAAUUUUCUCCAAAACAAACCCUUAAUGAAUUUUGGCUAUAAAGUCAUAUUUAUACCUUUAUUUCAUUUGAGUGGCAAACUUGUUAUUAAAGCAAGUUCACUACCCUUCCUCUAAAUGGCCGGCCAUGGGGUUUUGUUUGGGCUUUUGGGCCUUCGUGAAUUAAGUUGUCAUACAACUUAAGUCAAUGGACUUGACGUUCGAAGCCCAUUGGGCCUUGAGGCCCAAAACUAACCCGAGGUCUUUAACGAACUUUAUUCGUUUGAUUAAUUAACAUAUUAAUUAAUCCUUGCCAUAAAUAAUUAAACCAUUUAAUUAUUCUUACUCAUCUCCAUUGUUUCUUCAAUCUCCACCUUACACGGUGUACGAUCCAUUAGGUUCCUUUUAGCGAGGCAGUGGGCGAUUAGAACUCUUUCAAAUCGAUUGUGAAUUGAAACUUACUUUAAAUUCUCCCUUUAGUGAUUACACACGUUUAGGGCUUCCACAAACCAUGAGUGACACCUAGCAGUAUAUCAUGGUUACCCAAGCUAAUCAGAAGAGGUGAAGAACCUAUUCAGUUUGGGAUUACAAAUGCAAUACGGUCUUUCUCUAAUCUAAUACUCUUGACCACAUUGUUUGGUUUGAUAGUUUAUUUAUUCAUGUCUACUAUCCAAUGUGAUUCGUGUGCUUAGAUGAUUUCCUUGAAUGUGAUUUGGAACGCAUUCCUAAAUCUCAUUCAUACUCUAGCCAGAGAUUCUAAAUCAUAUCAUAGAGUAUUCUCCCUCAAACAGUUUGAAGGUUAGAGAUCCCUUGUUGCGCAUUCACUUGCCUCCAUGGCUAAGUGGCUUAACCCCAACGAUGCCGUGGACACUCCAAUGGAAUGACGUUUGACAUAAUCAAAGAUCAAGGACUUAACCACAAGACAACGACGAUGCCUCAGGUCAAAGGACUACUUUGCAUUAUCCCAACCAUGAGUUCUCAUGUGACAUGAAUAUGAGAACUCUUCAUUGAUCGUGUUCAGUGAACUCAUUCUCUAUUGAGCACCUACGUACUUGUCUUGAUGUCACACACACCAAUGACUCGAGACUAGUCACUCUCCCUGAAAGAAGACACAGCACGUACUGAUCUUAACGGACUGUCAAUGCCCAAUUGGCAAUCCUAUGAUCAGGAACAUUUAGGAUGUGUCUACGAAAGAAUGGUCUCAUGAAUCUAACUUCUUUAGAUCGUAUUCUCCCAAUCACAUAUUCCUUGGACUUUAUCGUUUAAGCAUAUAACAUUUAUAUGAGACGGCUCAAACAAUAAUCUUUGCCCUUGAUAUUAAACUUAGAUUAGUUUAACAUGUGAAAUGUCCGUAAAGUAUCAUCAUAUGAUUGGCUUUAGGGCACAUUUCCAACAAUAAGAGCUCCUCCCCUAAUUACAUAUUUGCCCCUUCCUUUAUUACAUAAUUACAUUUAAGUCCCUUAAGUAUUUAUACAAGGUCUAAAUAUGAGGCCCUAAAUAUGGUAUAAACAGUAGUCCCCCAAGUCUUCAGUCAAGAGAGUCUUUUGGCUGGAAACUUGAAAUUCAGUCCAUGUGUGGGCCGAAGUAACUAGAUGCUGUUCUUGAACUGAUGUUCGAUAUGAGGCAGUGCUCAAUCUGAAAUGACGCUCAACUAGAAGUAGCACACGCUGCGAGGCUGCUCGGCUCGUGGCUUAUGUUGCCUUGGUUAGCUCGGCUUACGGCGUUUGAAGGUGAGGGAGUCCCUUUUAUAGAAUAAGGGCUCAUUCCUCAAUACAUGGAUGAUGGGUUAGAGUUUAUGCUCUCUAAUGGUGGUGAGAGAGUACCUUUUAUAGAAUAAGGGUUCGCUUCUCAAUACAUAAGUGAUGGGUUAGAGUUGAUGCUCGCAGCGAGGCGGUUGCUCAGUAGGCGGCGAUGCUCUCUAAUGGUGAUGAGAGAGUCCCUUUUAUAGAAUAAGGGCUCGCUCCUCAAUACAUAAGUGAUGGGUUAGGAGUGAUGCUUGCGGCGAUGCGAUUGCUUAGUAGGCGGCGAUGCUCUCUAAUGGUAGUGAGGGAGUCCCUUUUAUAGAAUAAGGGCUCGCUCCUCAAUACAUAAAUCAUGGGUGAUCUUUUAAUGAAAGUGAGGGAGUCCCUUUUAUAGAAUAAGGGCUCGCUCCUCAAUACAUAAAUAAUGGGCUAGAGUCCCCCAAGUAUUUUUCAUAAGGCCCAAUUGAGGCCCAAUAUAUGGUACAUAAUGUAGUCCCCCAAGUCUUCGGUCAAUAGAGUCUGUUGGCUGGAGACUUCAAAUUGAAUCCAUGUAUGGGCCGAAGUGGCGGUUGUUCGAAGGCGGUAUUUGUAUACCCUGCACUGAAGCUUUGUAGGUGAAGCUUUGCAAGUGAAGCUUUGAAGCUAGAGCUCUGUAAAUGAAGCUUUCAAAGCUGGAGCUUUUGUAAAUAAAGCUUUUGAAGCUGAUUGACAUGAGUGAUGCUCAUGAAUGUUUAUGUUGAUGGACAUGAGUGAUACUCAUGGAUGUUGUCAUGAGUGAUGCUCAUGAAUGUUAACAUGAGUUAUGCUCAUGAAUGUUGACAUGAAUGAUGGUCACGAAUGUUUAUGCAUGAUUGUCAUGAGUGAUGCUCAUAAAUGUUUAUGUAUGAAUGACAUGAGUACUGCUCAUGUAUAAUUUAGAGUAUUGGGCGUACUUUUGAUCACCUAGUUGGUGGCAUGAAGGAAAGUAAGGGUUGUACAUUUCAUCACCUGGUUGGUGGCAUAAAUGGCUAGUUGCCAAAUUAGAGUACGGGUUGUACAUUUCAUCACCUGGUUGGUGGCUUAAAUGGCUAGUUGCCAAAUGAUAUUAGAGUACGGAUUGUACAUUUCAUCACCUGGUUGGUGGUAAUAGCGGCGGGUUGCCGAAUAAUUGUGGAGUACUUGGCUUACUUUUGAUGACCUGGUUGGUGGUAAUAGUGGCGGGUUGUCGAAUAAUUGUGAAGUACUGGGCGUACUUUUGAUGACUUGGUUGGUGCUAUUUCGGGCUUAUGGGCCUUCGCCCUCCAUAACAUGCCAGCCCAUUUGUUUUGGGCUUUGCCGUUUUUUUUUUUUUUUUUUUUUUUUAACCCUCUGAUGGGGUUUAUACAUAUUACCCUCUGAUGGGGUUUAUACAGAUGUCUCCGAAAGAUAAUGAAAAUAAAUUACAUCAUACAUCUGUUAAAAAUAAAUCCGACCCUCUGCUCAAUGGGUCAUGCCCAUAAUUCCCUUUUAUGCAUGUUAUCACCAUCGUAAUUAUGUCUGCUUUUGCUUUCCUCUUUUCUUUUCCUCUUUGCUUUUCUGCUUUGCCUUUGCUUUCUCAGAAAAUGGGAAACAUGCAUGAUAAAAGUGUGGGCAUCUUCUUUGUUGCUUUUCCUCUCCCGCUUUGUUGGUUGUAAAUGUCAGUAUACUCCAGCUGUAAAAGGACUGCAUACUGACCCACGCCCCCAAAGGCAGCAGUAAUCAAUAUGUUUUUUUGCUAACCGCUUCCGUCCAGCUUGAUCCUAGCAGAUUUCGUGAGACACUGGUGAGCUGUGAAGGUAGCAACAUGUAAGCCGACAUCUUAAGUGUGUUAAGGAGUGAUGAUUUUUUCUUUUUAAUAGCACAGUGGGCCAUCUAUAAGUGUAAAUCUGCCAUCUAUGAGUGUGCCAAGGAUGGCAGACCACGCAUUGCCUCGUCAGUGUCCCACUGUGGUAUUUGCAUACCCCAACCACCCCUCGCAUCGAGGGCGCUCCUUUCCGGUCCCGCUCAAGUCCCAUAAAUAUUAUUUGUCGCCACUAGAUUCACUUUUACCACCUCAUACGACCCCACAGAUUUGGUUUUACAUGCCAUUCGUCCCACUCGCAUUGUGUUUCGCGCAACUACCCACUCACAUCGCCGUCGGCGCUACCGCCGCAUACUAUCAACUUCAUCUUGCUUCUGCUCUGUGAAGGAAUUUUCUGGGUUGGUUCUGGAAUUUCUGGAAUUUGGGAUUUGGAGGAUUGGGAGGCGGCCUCCUCAGUGGUGCUGGUCCAUGUGGAAUAACAGAACGGAAAAAUGGGCCAUUUACCCAACACACCCAUGCGUUCUGUGCGUUUCUUCAACAACACCUGAUUUCUUCUUUCCACGCUUUGGCUUCUCAAAGGGUUGAUGAACUUGGAGACGGUGGAUGAAAACCCUAGGCUGGGAGGAGCCACAUGGGUUUUGGAUAUUUACGAUGAUUGGGAGCAGGGUAGAGGGCAAGAGAGCUCCAAUGGUGCCACAGUAGUAAGCAGAGGUGACGGCCCUGUAGAAAGUGCUCUAUCUCUCUGUACUUAGAGCGCUUUCUGACGGUGGAGGCAGCAUGGUGGGUCACGGGCGGAAGGAACAAAAUUCAAGAUUUAGCAGAUCUUGAAGAAGAUGAGGAAAGCUUCUGCCUGGUUUCAGAACAGUCUUCAGCAUCGCUCUCAUCCCUUCCACAAGCAAUGGUGGCGACAUCAUGGUCCACCGAUCCACAAGGUUCGUCAAUGGCGGAAGAAGACUCACGGUUCAGUGACGCCAUAGCCAAAGGUAUAGUCUUUUCGAACAACUUUAUCAUGUGGCCUCCUCCUCCUUCACCCUCAGACGACAUUCUUGUAAUUCGAUCAAAACCCAGAACGUCAUGGAACAGGUGUUUGCGGCAGAGAGCUGGAGCGCGGAUCUUGGAGAGGAGAUGGUGUGGAGAAGAUGACGAGGAACACAGGUGUGGGGUUCGUGGUGGCGAAUCCGAGAGAGGACGGAGAUGAUGGUCCUUGUUAGUGGGCUCUGGGAGGUGGGUGCGGGCCUGGGUAUAUGUCUGGGCUCGCAGCUGCUGAAGCCUGAAUCUUUUGGUUUGGAUCUGCUGAGGCGUGAUGGGUGUUGAAGCUGGAGAGGUGUCAGAUCUGGAUCAUCGGGCGAGUUGGGCUGGGUUAACGAGUCAGCAGGCUCGGAGGUGGAGGGAACGUCUAAGAGAGACGGAGGGAGAAGCUGAGACCGUGCAGCAGAGAGAUGAAGAGAUGAGAGAAGCUGACGUUAAAGAGUGAUCUGAUGGAGAGUUGUGAUUUUUGUUAGGAAAACGGGAGAGUGUCGGUGCACUCACAGAGAGACGCAGAGAUCUGAUGAAAAUGAGAUGAUGGUUUGAUGGGUUUUUUCUGGGUUCUUUUUACAGAUACACGGGGAAGAUUGUGAAGGUUUCACGGUGGUGUGAUGAAAGAUUGAAAGAGAAUCGGCGUAACUUUUCGUGUCGAUUCCCACAGACGGCGCCAAAUGUUGAUCCACAAAACCGGAUGGUCUUGGAACAACGUAAAUUCGACUGUGAAUCUACAUGAAAUGUAAAUAACACAAGAUGUAUCGUGGUUCACCCCAAGGUUUGGGCUACGUCCACACUGAUUGUAUUAUAUUUCUCUGAGAAGUGAGGGGGAGAGAGAGAGCUUAGAGCUUAGGGGGUGUGAGGAAGCUUAGGGUUUGUGAGGGUGAGGAGGCCCUUUUAUAGAAUAAGGGCUCCUCCCCUAAUUACAUAUUUGCCCCUUCCUUUAUUACAUAAUUACAUUUAAGUCCCUUAAGUAUUUAUACGAGGUCUAAAUACGAGGCCCUAAAUAUGGUAUAAACAAAGUUGAAGAACAAAUAGCAGAAAUAAACCAAGUUUUACAUAACACAUCUUCAUCACUUCCACCAUCUUUGCUAGAUAAAUUAGAAAAUUUAACUAUAAGUGAAAAUAAUAAUAUUAGAAGACCUAAGCUAAAUCCUUUUGAUAAUAGAAAAUGGAACUCUUUAGAAAAAAGGAAAAGAAGUAGCUAGAGCUGAAGAUAUUUAUCCAAAUGAAGAAGAAGCACAAGAAUUUAUUCGAAGAGGUUUUGAGAGAACACAGAAAAAUAAAUAUAAUUUGUAUCAAUUAGGUUUAUUUGAAAAUAGAAGUAGAAUUGUAAGUAGCAUCAGUCAACAUGAAGUUAGUUACAUCGAUAAAGAAGUUACACUUCAUUUAAUUAGUAAGGAAGCAGUUAUGCAUUUGAGAAAAUCACAUUUCAGUCAGAUUCAUAUAGGAACAAUAUUCAUUGGAAUAGUAGGAUUAACCAGAGCACAAGUAGGCACAAAAGCAUUAGUAUACAUAUAUGACGAUAGAUGGGGUAAUCACCAACAAACAGCAAUAGCAACAGCUGAAGUAGAUUUAAGUUCAAACUUAGCAGUCAUAGGUUGUAUUCCAAAUUAUAUUAUGACAAUUAAUGAAUUUAGUAAAUAUAUUAAAGUAAGCAUAAGAAAAAAAAAUUAUAAUAUGAAAUGAGAAUAUAAAAAUAUAUGUAUUAGCUUCAUGUAUAUUGGUAAAGUGUCUGAUAAAUAUAAUCAUAAGUUUAAUUUAGAAUUUCAAAAUUUAGUUCAAACAUUUGGUAGUAAAUAUGUAAAUAUGAUAGAAGCAAAACCCGUAGAUAAUAGCUUUUUAGAAGGAACUCAAUGGACAUUACCUAAUUUACAAGUAGCAAGAAAUAGACAACCAGAUAAAGUACAAAUAUAUGAAACUAGUACAUGUCAAGCAACAAUUAGGUUUAGUAAUUGCAAGCAACUAGAAAAAAAUAGAAGAGGAUGAAAGUCAAAUUGAAAAUGAGAGUAUACAUAUGGCUUUUGAUAAUUUAGAUAUUAAUUUAGUUGAGAAUUUUUUUGAUCAUAUUGUAGAUAAGCUUAUAGAAAAUAUUGAUCAUUUAGAUGAAGAAGAGUACUUAGAAAAAUAUAGGACAUAUGAUUUAGGACUACAUAGAAUUUUAGAUGAAGAGAUGAACAAAUUAAUUUUAGAAAUAGGAGUAGAACAUAUUUUAGGAUCAAAAGAAUAUAAUAAUUUAUUAGAAUUGAAAGAAGAAUGUAAUUGUAGACAUCGAAAUUUCGGUAAAUAAAUGUUGACCGAUAAAUCAAAGUUUCAACGCUCAUGUAUUACAUAAAUUUUACACGUAGCGUGUGUCUAAACAAAAAAUCGAAAUAAGUUGGAAAAGUCAUCAAACAGGACACGUGUCAACACCUGGCAAAAACGACUUAUUUCAUCUGGAAUAUUAUAUUCAAAAUUAGGCCUUGGAAAUUUCUAUAAAUAGAAGGCUAAUUCAUUCAUUUAAAGGAACCAAAAUCAUUAUGCAAAAUUCUUGAAGCUCUGAAGCUCUGAAGCUCUGAAACUCCGAAGCUCUCAAGCAUCCAGGUUCCCGAAGAAUCAAGAAAGCUCUCUUCGUUCUUCGUUCAUCGUUCAUCCUAAGAUCAAGCCCCAACGGCCCUUUGGAUCAACAAUCAUCCACCAAUUCAAGAUCAAGCCCCGACGGCCCUUGAAAGAAGUGUUCUUCGUUCAUCGUUCUUCCAAGAUCAAGCCCCGACGACCCUUGAAGAAAGUGUUCUUUGUUCUUCAUCCAUUCAUCCUAAGAUCAAGCCCCAACGGCCCUUUGGAUCAACAACGUCGACAAAUCCACACACAUCCAACUGUUCUUCAAGAUUAAGCCCAAAAGCCCUUGAAGAUCCGUUCAUCACUGUUUUUCAAGAUCAAGCCCAAAAGCCCUUGAAGAUCCGUUCAUCACCGUUAUUCAAGAUCAAGCCUUAACGGCCCUUGAAGAAACAUUCAUCCUCAAGAUCAAGCCCCAACGGCUCCUUGAAGAUCCGCUCAAAUCCACCUUCAAAGAUCAAGCCCACGGCCCCUUGAAGAAACUUCCAACAGUUCAUCCAAGAUCAAGCCUCAACGGCCCUUGGAUCAACGAAGCAUCCACCAAUCAACACCUUACAGAGAUCGAAUCAGAGGAUCAAAUUAGAGAGAGAUUGUAACCCGAAACUAUCAAAUACAAAUAUUUGUUUGUGCACGUCGUUCUUGUCUCUUUCGUUUCAGGAAUUUUCCGUGUUCACAAAUUGGCACGCCCAGUGGGACCAUCUCUACCUCUCAUCUCUUUCUCCGUUCAAGGAAUCCAAACACACCUCAAAGCCAAUGGCAUCAAGCAAGGGACAAGCCGUUCUCGCAACCACUGAGGGAUGGAUCCUAAGCACUUCUGCCGUAAAUGGACAAUCCAUUGGCGCCACAACCGCUCCUCAACAUGCCACUUCAAAGUUGGUGCCGCUAAAAGAACAAGGGGAGCAUCAAAGGUGUGAGUCUGUCAUCAACCUGACCUCGCUGGGGGCACCGAAGCAUGCUGCUGAGGCACACAAGAUGACAUCCCAAAACAGCCAACGACGUUCUUCGUCAACAUCUUGGAUGUCUAAAGGACAGUCACGUCUAUUGGUUGCACAAGUCAUGACCAUCGGCGUUACCUCCAUCGAAGAACAACUGGCUCAAAUGAAUGAAGCAAUCGCAAGGCUAACCCGAACUGUGGAAGAAAAAGACUUGCAAAUUGCAGCACUGGUCAACCGACUGGAGGCGCAGGACGGCGAUAAACCCGACCCAGAGGAUGAUCCACUAAAGGGAGAAGCUGGCGGAGACGAAGAACCCCCGAUGAAGAAAAUCGAUGGGAAGCCGGAGCCAGACCAAGCAGUGGCACUCAUGGGAUCUCUUUCUAUCCAGCAGCUGCAGGAGAUGAUCACCAACACCAUCAAGGCACAGUACGAAGGGAGCUCACAUACCUCCUUGUUCUACUCAAAGCCCUAUUCCAAGAAGAUUGAUGCCCUAAGGAUGCCAAGGGGUUAUCAACAACCAAAGUUCAUGCAGUUUGAUGGAAAAGGAAACCCAAAGCAGCACGUUGCACAUUUCGUCGAAACUUGCAAUAACGCGGGGACGGAGGGAGACUACCUCGCCAAGCAGUUUGUGCGCUCGCUGAAAGGAAAUGCCUUUGAGUGGUACACGGACCUAGAGCCUGAGUCCAUCAACAGCUGGGAGCAAUUAGAGCGGGAAUUCCUCAACCGCUUCUACAGCACCCGCCGCAUUGUGAGCAUGCUAGAGCUAACAAGCACAAAGCAGUGGAAGGACGAGCCAGUCAUUGACUACAUCAACAGAUGGCCCACUCUAAGCCUCGACUGUAAAGACAGGCUCUCGGAAACCUCUUCAAUCGAGAUGUGCAUCCAAGGCAUGCAAUGGGGUUUGCAAUACAUCCUUCAAGGCAUUAAACCACGGACCUUCGAGGAAUUGGCCACCCGCGCCCAUGACAUGGAGUUGAGCAUCGCCCAUCAUGGGAAGAAGGAACCAAUCGCCAACUACAAGAACGACAAAGUUCUUGAGACAAAGGUGGAGAAGGCUACGUGGAAAUCCACCAAGGAAGCAAUAAAAGUCAACACAGCUCCCGUCAAAAUCCCUACACGAGGCAAGGCGAUUCAAACCGAAGCUUUUCGUGAUCAAGAGAUGCGUAGACGCACUUUGAAGGAGCUUGAGGAGAGGACUUAUCCAUUCCCCGACUCUGAUGUGGUUGCCAUGUUAGAAGACUUGCUGGAAAAGAAGGUGAUUAGUUUGCCUGAGUGCAAACGGCCAGAAGAGAUGAAUCGCACUGACAGUCCAAGGUACUGUAAAUUCCACCGCUUCAUCAGUCAUCCGAUAGAAAAAUGUUUCGUGCUGAAAGAUCUCAUCAUGAAGCUGGCUCAGAAAGGAAUCAUCGAGCUAGAUCUUGACGAUGUGGUAAAGUCAAACUAUACCACCUUCACUUCUGGCUCUUCCGACUCAAAGUUUUCACCUCAACCGCUGGGGGCAUCCUCCAAGACAAGCAAAAUUGAAGGAUGGACUCAAGUCACUCCUAAGAAAUUGCACAAGAAGCAUACGUCUCCUUCGCAAGUCCGCCAAUCGGAAAGGGGGCAAAGCAGCUCUUGUCAACCUUCAAAGCAACGUGAACGUGUUGAAGAUGAUGAAAUUGCGACACAAAGAUCGUCCGUUGCCAUCACGAUGCGCGACUUCUUGCCCGAAGACUUCUUCAAACACGCAGUCAAAGCUCCUUGCUAUGAAAAUUGUGAGGAACGCCUCUCCCGGAUUGCUUAACAAAAUUCACAAAUUCUCCUCGCCCGUAUGAGUCUAAACUGCAUGGCACAAGCUUCUGGUCUGCACGAGCAUAAAAGGCAACACCAAUGCUCCUUGUUCGCAUGAGCCUAAACUGCAUGGCACAACGCUCCUUGUCCGCAUGAUGUGAAAAUUAACUAGCACUCAAAUUAACCCUCUUUUUAUCAAUUGUAGUAAGUAUGUAAGUAGGGAUCGUUCUAGGCCGGGGAUUAGGAGGGAUUGCUAAAUCACUCGAAAACUGACUCAAAAACGUAAAAACAAAGUUUAAAACACUAAACUAGACUCAAAGAAUGUAAAACUAUAACUUAAAACACCAAAACAAACCAAAAGACUCAAAAUAACACAAAAACACUCAAAACUGCCUUCAAACCACUUUCUGGGCAGUUUUGAACUUUAAACAAGAUUUUGACGAAAAUAGGUUUUAACUUGACUCAAAACACUUAAAAACACAAACUAACACACUCUCUAACUAAUUUGACACUUGAAAACAAAGGGGGAUUUGGUUUUUACGAAAUUGAAAACAAAAAACAUAAACUUGUAAAUCAAAACAGAUUUUAAAACGAAUUUGAUUGAAUUGAAUGGAUAGAAAAGCUAGCUAAGGGGUUCAUCUCCACACAUGUUAUACUUGCAUUCAAAACGAUUUCCAAUUGCUUUUCAAUAACCCAUGAAUUCUCAACGCCCCAAGUUAAUUAGGUCCGCUUAAAUUAACCUUCAGAUUUUCCUAACGUUAUUGAAUUGGAUGAUUGCAUACGACAACCCAAAGCAUUCCCCACAAGUCCCCUACAUGAUUGCAUAAUAGAGAUACAAGCAAGAAUCAUUAAGUUCUAUGAAAACCAUAAGCAUUGACGAAGCACUUGUUACUAUGAUUGCAUGAAACUUAUGCCAAGAAUUUACUUAACGCGAUUGAGAUCAUCAACCUUUACUACUUAUGAAUAUAAGUCCAUAACGAUUAGGUGAAAUUUCCUUAUAUCCUAGCAUCAAAUUCAUGCAUGCAAAUUAAGUGUCGACCCUCAACCAACAUACACAAAUCAGUUUUAAUUCUUGUAGAUAAGUAAAUUGAAUUCACAACUUAUGAAACGCAAUUAGAAGUAAUCAAAUCAUAUAGCAAGCAUAAACAUGGUUUCGAAUCCCCCCUAGCCAAGGGGGGGUUUAGUUCCUCAUACUCGCAAAGCAAAGAUACAUAAAUUUAGAAAUUAAAAUCCAAAGAAAGAAAACACCUAGAACGCUCCAACUUGGCAGCAAGCGCAUCCAAGAAUUCUCCUUCCUCCUUGCUACGGCAGAGAACUUUAGAACAGGUUUUGGGUGGUAUUUAUGGUGUAGAAUGGAUGGGGAAUGGUAUGGAAAGGUGUAGGGUUGAUGGGUGGUGCGGCUAGGGAUGAUUUUGGGCAGAAAAUAUGGAAUAUGGUGGUGGAAAGGUGUGGCAAAGAGAGCCUCUUUGUUUCUGACGUGAAUGAUGUAUAUGGGAGGUGAUAUAUCCGGCCAAAAGGGUUUAAUGAGUAUAUAUAGGCACUUCAAAACCCUAGCAAUCAGAUUAGGGUUUCUAGAAGCCCAAAUCCACCAGAAAUUAGGUUAAAACAAUCAGAUUUUUAGUGGGAAUAAGGCCUAAGGUGCGGCUAGGGUUAGGGUUUAGAGAUGGGCCUUCUAGAAUGCCUUGCAAGGCAAGGAAAUCAGAUAUUCUAGAGGCCUAGGUGCGGCUAGGGUUAGGGUCCACAAGGAAUUAGGGUUUAGGUCAUCUAAAGCCCAAAGCCAAGAAUAGAAACUCUCGAAAAUGGAAACCUCCAAGAAUAGAAACUUCCAACUUUAGAAACUUUGGUUUCCAAAUCUGAAUUCUUUGUUCUUCACUUUCAUUUCUUCAUUUCUUAAGCUCCUUUGACCUUCAAACUCGUCUAUUCCUUAUGCUCCAUUAGCAUACACUCCAUUCUAGCUCAAUUUUGCUCUAAAUGCUCCAUUUUGCACUUCUUUGCAUACUUCGUCUCUAAACCUGAAAUUGCACGAAAAUGACUUUAAACACUAAAAUAACUAAAGAAAAACAACAUAAAUGCUUAAGAACAAGCCAACUAAGUUGCAUAAAUAUGCUCCUAUCACCGCACGAGCAUAAAAGGCGACACCAAUGCUCCUAGUCCGCACGAGCUUAAAAGGCGACACACCAAGCUCCUUGCCUGCACGAGCUGAAACUGCAACACGGCACCAAAUGCUCAUUGUCUGCACGAGUUGAAACUGCAAACGAAACCUACACUCCUUGCUUGCAUGAGUUAAAACUACAAACGGCACAAAAAGAAAAUACCAAAAAUAUGGAUGUAUUUGAACUACGUUUUGACUUGAUCUCUUUCUUUGGAAGGGUACGUAGGCAGCUCGAGCAUUCAAAAUUUCGAGUUCAGUCACAUCAAAAUAUAAAUAAAUGUUUUAUUAAAGAAAGUCAAUUUUAUUAAAUAAAAAAUAAUAAUGAAUACAUAUGUUUAUGUAUUUACAAAAAAAAAAAAAAAAAAAAAAAUUCCUUAUACAUAUAUAUAUAUAUAUAUAUAUAUAUGUCUUCUAUCUAGCAGCAAUAAGCCCAUCAAAAGGAGGUUGGCCAAGCCCAAAGCCUAUUGUCCAAAUCCAGCUCCAAGAAGAAGAAACCCAAAUCAAACCAGGCCCAUAUUCCAGAAGCUGCUAGUACAAGCCGAAGAGGAAGCUUCUUCAGAUCCUGACUCGGUCCACAUCUAGUAAAUUCCGGCCUGUUCUUGAGCAUCGAGGAUUUCCAGAGACACUGCCAUGCUCGCCGUGCACCUUCUUCUUCUUCCUCUUCUCCGCCAUGGCUCAUGCACACCCACACCCCACACGCGAACCGGGUCCAAUGGAAUGACUCCGUUUCGAUCUACACCAGUCCCAAGCCCAGUCUCUCAGCCAUCUCCACAACGCAUAAGAUCCAGGCCCGAUUCUCUAUCUCCCGCAAACUCAUCCCCACAAUCCCGAGAUAUCGAUUUCGAGAACACUCCGCCAUCUCCACAACGCAUAAGAUCCUGACCCUCAGAUUCUCCAGACCCUCAAAGCUCAUUCCUUUCAAGGUCUUCGGCUUUUCCUCCCUCAGCCCAAUUCAGGAUGGCUCCGCCGACCAGUUUUUGCAGAACAAUUCAAUUGCGGAUUUCAUGCAGUUCAAAAUGGGUCCCGAUGGCGAAAUCGAGGAGCUGCAGACAGGUCCUCCACGAACGAGCCUCAUGCUCCUAGGCUCUGUCAGAUCCUCUCAAUGCCGGCGCCGACACCACCUCCACCCAAACCCUCGGAGAGUACUCUGACUCUACCACCAUCAUAUCCCCGAUGAACUCUCACUUCCCGGCUUUGACUUGCCGCGACACCCUCCGCCUCAUCUUCGAGAAGCUCCCGAUCUCCCAUCUCCUCUUGACCCGUACUCGGACCACAACUGCUGGGAGCGGUCGAAGGACAUGGACACAUCACGCGCUGUGUACAAGAUCGAUAAAAAAAAAAAAAAAAAAAAAAAGCCACCCGGGGUCUGACAUGGCUGGCAAAACUGCCACUGCUCUCACCGCUGCUUCUAUUGUGUUCAGAUCACGUGCGGCCCAGCAGCUCUCUUUCUGCCCAUCCUCACUCGGCUCCAAGCCUUCAUCUAUCCCGCCACGCCUUCUCAAAAACAUCCUGUGAACAGGAAGAUCGCAGUAACCAAAAUUGAUGAGAAGGAAAGAUCGGUGGAAAUCAAUCACGUGUUGGUGUCGUACCCGAAUCUGUUUCUUGACGGACCAAUUUCGAUUCACGGUGUUCUUGGCCCGUUCUCCGCUUUGGAUCCGAGAGAUGUUAAUCAGGGUUGGGAUAUUAUCCAAUCGCCUGCCUGUGAUGCCAAUUCCAACAUGGUUUCUGAUGUUCUUGAUGCCAAGAACAUGGUUGAAUGGUCCCGGAUCAUCCGAUUGUUGAGCUCGAAUGGGUUCGUUUCUUUCAUUGUCUGGCUGAACUCUGUUCUUGAUGGGAUUCUUGGAGAUCAUAAGGGUUUGAAGUCAGUGAUAAUCUUUCUUCCGCCAAGCUUGGAGCUUGAAGCGUAUCCUCCCCCAGCUCGAUAAGGCGCUACCUUUGAUACUCAAAUGCCGAGCCAACGACAUCAUGAAACGAGUCUUCACCAUUAUCCGGGCUGCCUAGUUCCGGAAAAUGACGUCCCAACUUGAAAACUCCAUCGGCGACCUGUCGUGGCUGCUACGGGUGUCUGCUCCUGUGGAUACUUGGGAAGAUGGGUACUUGGGGUUAUCUCCAAUUGCUGCAAACGAGCCAAUUUUGUGCCUCAUUUGGGAGCUGAUUGCAAUUCUGCAUACUGGGAUCGAUUGCUGAGGGCCGUAAUGUGAAAAAGCUGAAAAGUCACGGUGCUGGUGGAGAUCAUAGAGGUAGGGUCGCAGCGGCAUAAGGAGAUAUUGGUGGCAAUUUUGUUGCGGUUGGAGUUGCAAAUUCAGGACCGUUUGAUAAAGAUGGAGAUCGUCAAGAACUGCUUCGCCAGGAGCGAGAUGGUGGAGGUCCUGAUCCAGCCUUCAGACCGCCAUAUUGGAGCCCAGACCACCGCAGCUUCAAAAGCUUCGUGGAAGCCACGAACUCCACACCUCCGGCUCCCUUUCUCCGUCCAUCUCCGUCGAUGCUCUCUGCAAGCCCUCUAUCCCUAUAUAUAUAUAUAUAUAUAUAAUAAAUAAAUAAAUAAAUAAAUAAAAAAUAAAUAAAUAAAAGUUUCCAAGUGGUUGCCAACACCGAAGGCAAAGAAAAAUAGAUUAGAAUUUUUUAAGGGGUAUGAUGCUUUGUGUGCGUGUUUAUAUGUGUGUGUAUAUAAAAAUAUAUGUAUAUAUAUGCAUGUGGUGCAUCCAGCACUAAAGAAAAAAAAAUAUAAUAAUAAUAAUUAGAAAAAAAAAGGAGUGGUGGAUCAGCACCACGAAAAGAAGAAAGAAGGAAUUAAAAGAAAAAAAAAAAAUAAUAAUAAGGGGCUUCAUGGUGCGUCUGGCACCAUGUGCAGAAAAAAAAAGAAAAAAAAAAUAUAUAUAUAUAUAAAGAAGUAAGUGGAUCCUUGGUGGCUAGCACCAUGCAAAAAAAAAAAGAGGGGAAAAGGUUUUGGAAUGGUGGAUCAGUUCAUGUGAAAAAUUAAUAUGUAUGUAUGUAUAUGUGUAUGCAUAAUAUAUGUAUGUUUACAGCAAAAAAAAAAAAAAAAAAAAAAAAAAAAAAAAAAAAAAAAAACAAAUGCAUUGAGAGAAAUAAAGUUCGUUUUUAUUUACUUAUUUUUUUCUGGAAAUUUUACAUAAAUUUGCAUUAUACAUACUUAAAAAAAAAAAAAAAAAAAAAAAAAAAACCAAAUCAAAUUUACAAGAGGGGAUCUUCAAGGACGAUCAGGUGCCGCCUCACCACUCGGCAGAGCUCCAGAAAUGAGAGGCGCUGGAGGUUGACUGUUUGAAGCCACACCACUCGGCGGAACUCCAGGAAGAGGAGGUACCAAAGGUUGAUCAUUUGGAGCUUCAUUACGCGGUACAGCCCCAGAAGACGAAGGCAAAUGUUGUUGGAACAAACCCACAAACCUCCGAUGAUCAAGUAAAAUCUGACCAUCAGAUUCCUGCAUCUGGUCAAUUUUCCUCUUCAUGUUUAUGGCAUAGUUGUGUGCGAGCUUGUGCAACUGUUUAUUCUCAUGCUUGAGCCCUCUAAUCUCCUGUUUGAGACUCAUCACUUCAGCCGCCAACGAUUCAACUUGACGGGUUCGAGCAAAUAGGCGUUGGGCCAUGUUGGACACAGAACCCGCACACUGCACACUAAGAGCCAGAGACUCCUUAACAGCCAACUCAUCAGACCGCCUGGAAAGUAGUCUGUUAUCUUUGGGAGUGACAAGGUUCCGGGCCACCACCGCGGCGGUCAUAUCAUUCUUCAUCACCGAAUCCCCAACGGUAAGAGGACCAGUAGGGGAUAUGAAGGAUAGGCGCCAUAUGUUGUCUGGAGAAGGCGGGACUGCCUCUUCACCAAGAUUCAAGUCAAAACGACGGUCAGAGGGUCCAGACAUUUUCAAAGUGUUGAAGAAAGAAGAGAUCGGACAAAUCAAGAUCUUAGAAGUGCAAGAAAGGAGUUUUCACAAGCGAAAAUUCAAGUGUGCUUUGAAACGAACUGCGUGCCUCUAUAAAAAAAUCAGCACUCGACGGGAUUUCAGAGAUCGAAGAGGCGAGCUCAGAAUUCGAAGAGGCCAAUUCAAAAAUCGAAGAGGUGCUAGCUUUCUCAAAAGCUGGGCUCGCUCGGAAACCACGGGCCAAUCUUCCUUUCCAGACUUGUUCGCACUUGUCACAUGCAACCUCUGUGCUCGACGGAGCUCAGAAAUCGAAGAGGCAAGCUCAGAAAUCGGAGAGGCAUCUUGCUUUUCCAGACGCGUCAACACCCAUCACACGCAAACUCAGCUUGGCGGAAAUCACGGGUAAUUUUUCGAAGCGCCAAUCCCAGAUAUCGAAGAGGCGCCAGUCUUUUUCAGCCGCGUCACCACCUGUCAUAUGCACACUCAACUUUGCGCAAAUCACGGGCAAUUUGUCGAAGAUUUUCGGUGAAGGAGAAAGCACGUGAAGUUUACUGUUCAAUCACGUGUUAGUUACCGACACGAGUGAAAGAAUAGUACCUCUACAGGUAUUAAGGGACCUCCUAUAAACUGUCCACCUUCACCCUUCAUAGCAAGGUAGACAUACAGAACCUUUCUUCAUCUCCGAGAAUGCCUUCCCAACGAAGCCUCUCGGGUCACUCAGUGUUCCUUAUUCCUUGGGGUACCUCUGCAAGCCAAUGACUCCAAAGCAAAAGUAUCUCAUAUCACCAGGGUAGAAAGCAAGAGUAUCUCAUAUCAUGCGUUCUCCCUGUCAUUUCCUUUGUCCUUGUUCCUACCUAUAAAGACAAGGAUAAAGAAAACAAUAUGCCGGAACUUCCACUCAAACUCGGGUAAGGAACCGACUGCUGGGAACCCUUCCCUGAUUGCCUACCUAGCAUUGCUCUCGAGUACUCGUCUCCCACUGCUGCUAUACUUCCAAAGAAGCUGCCACAUCUGCCUGAAGAACAGAUAAAGGCAAGUGAAAAUGAUACCUUGCAGCAUGUGGAGACAACGUGCAGAAGAAACAAGCAGAGAAGAAUGCGGUCUGCACAGUCAACUCAGCAGAAGGAGUCCGAACUGAGGAACUUGAGAAGCUGCCACAUCUGUCUGAAGAAACAAGCAGAGAAGAAUGCAGCAUGCACAGUCAACUCAGCAGAAGGAGUCUGAGAUGAAGAACUCGAGAAGAUGCCGCAUCUGCCUGAGGAACAGUUAAAGGAAAUGAAAAUGAUACCUUGAAGCAUGUGGAGAGAAGUGCAACAAAGCACGUGCUGAGUCAUCCGCUACUUCUUCAAAAUCAAAAGUAUCUCAUAUCAUCAGGGUUGCAAUCACUCUGGACGGUGAACUCGUUUUGACCCUCAAAUUCUUGGGUCGACUUACUAGGCGUUGUGGGCUGCACGUGCCGAUUCACCACCCUUGAAUCAAAUCCUUAAAGAUCAAGUCACCAACUGGAAGAAGAGCCCAUAAAUCUUGAAGAUCAUACCGUUGACCAAACUGCUCAGGUGUGAAUUAGAAAGAUUGAACAAAGCAACAAGUCGUCACCUUCACCUCGUGCCUGCUUGCCAUGUGUUCGAGUCAACCUUCAAGAAUCAAGCCUCAACGGCCCUUGAAGAAGUUUCCGGCCAAAUUCAAGAUCAAGCCUCGACGGCAUUUGAAGAAAUCACAAGUCCGAUUCAAGAUCAAGUGUCUACCACCCUUGAAUCAAAACCUAGUUCAAGAAUAAGCUGUGGAAAAUCAACAAUUGGAGGAAUCCAGAAAAUCCUCCAACCCAGUUCAAGAUCAAAGCUGUGGAAAGUCAACAAGCGCAACAAAAUACGUGCCGAUUCAUCCACUACCAAAGCCAAAGAUCAUCUACCACAUGAAGCUCCUUGUGGUCCAAUUUCAACCUUCAAGAUCAAGCCUUGACGGCCCUUGGAGAAAUCUCCAACCCAAUUCAAGAUCAAGCCUCAACGGCCCUUGAAGAAAUCUCCAACCCAAUUCAAGAUCAAGCCUCAAUGGCUCUUGAAGAAAUUUCCAGCCCAAUUCAAGAUCAAGCCCCAACGGCCCUUGGAUCGACAUCUACAAUAAGGGACUUCAAAACACAUCUCCUACACAUGACAAGCACAUGUAUACGACGCGCCUUGAAGUGGGGGCAUUUGUAGACAUCGAAAUUUCGGUAAAUAAAUGUUAACCGAUAAAUCAAAGUUUCAACGCUCAUGUAUUACAUAAAUUUUACACGUAGCGUGUGUCUAAACAAAAAAUCGAAAUAAGUUGGAAAAGUCAUCAAACAGGACACGUGUCAACACCUGGCAAAAACGACUUAUUUCAUCUGGAAUAUUAUAUUCAAAAUUAGGCCUUGGAAAUUUCUAUAAAUAGAAGGCUAAUUCAUUCAUUUAAAGGAACCAAAAUCAUUAUGCAAAAUUCUUGAAGCUCUGAAGCUCUGAAGCUCUGAAACUCCGAAGCUCUCAAGCAUCCAGGCUCCCGAAGAAUCAAGAAAGCUCUCUUCGUUCUUCGUUCAUCGUUCAUCCUAAGAUCAAGCCCCAACGGCCCUUUGGAUCAACAAUCAUCCACCAAUUCAAGAUCAAGCCCCGACGGCCCUUGAAAUAAGUGUUCUUCGUUCAUCGUUCUUCCAAGAUCAAGCCCCGACGGCCCUUGAAGAAAGUGUUAUUCGUUCUUCAUCCGUUCAUCCUAAGAUCAAGCCCCAACGGCCCUUUGGAUCAACAACGUCGACAAAUCCACACACAUCCAACUGUUCUUCAAGAUUAAGCCCAAAAGCCCUUGAAGAUCCGUUCAUCACUGUUUUUCAAGAUCAAGCCCAAAAGCCCUUGAAGAUCCGUUCAUCACCGUUAUUCAAGAUCAAGCCUUAACGGCCCUUGAAGAAACAUUCAUCCUCAAGAUCAAGCCCCAACGGCUCCUUGAAGAUCCGCUCAAAUCCACCUUCAAAGAUCAAGCCCACGGCCCCUUGAAGAAACUUCCAACAGUUCAUCCAAGAUCAAGCCUCAACGGCCCUUGGAUCAACGAAACAUCCACCAAUCAACACCUCACGGAGAUCGAAUCAGAUGAUCAAAUUAGAGAGAGAUUGUAACCCAAAACUAUCAAAUACAAAUAUUUGUUUGUGCACAUCGUUCUUGUCUCUUUCGUUUCAGGAAUUUUCCGUGUUCACAGUAAUCCAGCAGAAGAAAGUAGUAUAUCAGGAGUAGAAAAUCCAGGACACGCAAGUAGAACUGAUCAAUAAUUUUUGAGACCAACAAAUGACAAUAUAAUGAAAAAGCAAAAGUAGAUUACAUAGAAGAAAGUAUGAUAAAACCACCUAGAAAAAAUAGGAUUCCAUAUUUGAGAGGGUUAGAACAAAUUAAUAUAGCUGGUAAUAUAUUAAAUUUAGAUAAUGUAGAUCCACAAGAUUGGGAAAGAACGAUUGAGAGAUGGGAAAAAAGUUGCGUACAUGCAGCAUUAAUGUUAGAUUUUAGUAAUUCACAAAAUAUGUUAGAUUACUUUGAGCAUACUUUGGAUGGUUUAGUUUUGGAUUAUUUCCAGUCAUGGAAAGUUCAAAAUCCAGGAUAGCAUCAGGCAGCUAAAACACAUUUUAAUAUAUAUGGUUUUGUUACUUUGAUUAAACAAGAAUUUUUAGAUCAUAAUAGAUUAGAUGGCAGAAGUGAACAAGAACAAAUAAAGGCGAUUAUAAAUUUAGAACAAUUACAAAUUUGUGAUUUACAGUAUAUAACUGAGUACAACAUAUUUCUUUAAAUAUUUAAGGAAGAAUACGUAGAAUUAGUGAUAUUAAUUUAUUAGAUACUUAUAUGACAGAAAUAAAAGGACCAAUAGGAGAAAAGAUUUGGAAUGAAUGGCAAAAGCAUCCAAAGAAAAAUGAUAUUGCAAUAGACCUAGAAUUCAACAUGUAUAUGAUAUACUUAGAUAAUAGUGUAGUCAAAUAAAAGCUAAGAAACAAAUUAAAAGCAAUUUUAUAUGAGCUGUAAAAAUAUAGAUUGACCACAACAAUAUGGUUGCCAUAAAAAGAAUAAGCAUAAGAAAAUAUACAAAAAGAAAUAUAAAUCAUAUAAACCACCAUACAACAACAUAAGAAUUUCAGCAUAAGACCUUCAAGAGCAUAUAAGAAGAGAAAAUAUAUUCCAAAAAAAUUUAGGAAAAGAAGUGGCAGACCUUGGAUUAGAAAAUAUAAAGCACCAAAAGAUAAGAGUAGUUGUAAAUGUUAUUCAUGCAGAGAAGUUGGACAUAUUAGACCUAAAUGUCCAAAAUUAGGAAAACAGUCUAGAGAUAAAGUACAUUUGAUGGAGUUGUUUAAAUUAGAAGAGGAUGAGGAUAUACAGUCAAUAUAGAGUUUAAAUGAUUUAAGUGAUAAUGAGAGUAUUUAUAGUAUAAAGAGUAUUAAAAUGAUAGAUUUAGACUCGGAAGAUUCAGACAGCUCAAAUAGUGAUUUAGAAGAGUAUAUGUGUGCAUUCAAAGAAGAACAACAUGAAGAAGAAUAUAAAUAUAUUAAUUUAGGUUGGCCAGAAAAAUGUCAUAAGUGUAGUAAAUUAGUUGCAAAUAAAUACUAUAAUCCAUAUUCAAUAUUGUGUGAAAAAUGUUAUAAUAAUAAGUUAUUAGAAAUUAAUUUAGCAGAAUCACAAGAAAAUACUGAAAUAUUAGGAAAUAUUGUUUAUAGUAUAGAAAAGCCAAAAAAUAGUUCUUUAAUUACUAUAAAUUGUGAAAUAGAAUUAGCAAAAGAACAUAAAAUACAAACAACAUCUAUGAUAGAUACAUGGAGUACAAAGAGUGUCAUAAGAGAAGAAUUAGGAGCAGAAAAAUAUAGACAAAAAUUAACAAAACCAGUAAGAAUAACACAAUUUGAUGAGAGACUAGUUUACUUAACACAUUGCUGUGAACACGAAAUUUUCCUGAAACAAAACGAGACAAGAACACGUGCACAAAAUAAUAUUUGUAUUUGAUGAUUUUGGGUUACAAUCUCUCUAUAACUUUGAUCCUCUGAUUCGAUCUCCGUAAGGUGUUGAUUUGUAGAUAUUUCAUUGAUCCAAGGGCCGUCGAGGCUUGAUCUUGGAUGAACUGUUGGAAGUUUCUUCAAGGGCCGUGGGCUUGAUCUUUGAAGGUGGAUUUAAGCGGAUCUUCAAGGAGCCGUUGGGGCUUGAUCUUGAGGAUGAGUGUUUCUUCAAGGGCCGUUGAGGCUUGAUCUUGAAUAACGGUGAUGAACGGAUCUUCAAGGGCUUUUGGGCUUGAUCUUGAAGAACGGUUGGAUGUAUGGAUUUGUCAACGUUUGUUGAUCCAAAGGGUCGUUGGGGCUUGAUCUUAGGAUGAACGGAUGAUGAACGAUGAACACUUUCUUCAAGGGCCGUCGGGACUUAAUCUUGAAUUGGUGGAAGUUCUUCAAGGGCCUUUGGGGCUUGAUCUUGAAUUGGUGGAAGUUCUUCAAAGGGUCGUCGGGGCUUGAUCUUGAAGGUGGAUGAUUGUUGAUCCAAGGGCCGUCGGGGCUUGAUCUUGGAAGAACGAUGAACGAAGAAUGAAAAGGGCUUUCUUGAUUCUUCGGGAACCUGGAUGCUUGAGAGCUUUGGAGUUUCAGAGUUUCAGAGCUUCAAGGUUUUGGUGUAAUAUGAAUUGGUGAAAUGAAAUGAAUGAAAUUGGCUUCUAUUUAUAGAAUUUUCCAAGGCCUAAUUUUGAAUAUAAUAUUCCAGAUGAAAUAAGUCGUUUCUGCCAGGUGUUGACACGUGUCCUGUUUGAUGACUUUUCCAACUUAUUUCAAUUUUUUGUUUAGACACACGCUACGUGUAAAAUUUAUGUAAUACAUGAGCGUUGAAACUUUGAUUUAUCGGUCAACAUUUAUUUACCGAAAUUUUGAUGUUUACAAAUGCCCCCACUUCAAGGUGCGUCGUAUACAUGUGCUUGUCACGUGUAGGAGAUGCGUUUUGAAGUCCCUUAUUGUAGAUGUCGAUCCAAUGGCCAUCAAGGCUUGAUCUUGAAUUGGGCUGGAGAUUUCUUCAAGGGCCGUUGAGGCUUGACCUUGAAUUGGGCUGAAAAUUUCUUCAAGGGCCAUUAAGGCUUGAUCUUGAAUUGGGCUUGAGAUUUCUUCAAGGGCCGUUGAAGCUUGAUCGACUUGAUCUUGAAUUGGGCUUGAAAAUUUCUUUAAGGGCCGUUGAGGCUUGAUCUUGAAUUGGGCUGAAAAUUUCUUCAAGGGCCAUUGAGGCUUGAUCUUGAAUUGGGCUUGAGAUUUCUUCAAGGGCCGUUGAGGCUUGAUCUUGAAUUGGGCUUGAAAUUGGACCACAAGGAGCUUCAUGUAGUAGAUGAUCUUUGGCUUUGGUAAUGGAUGAAUUGGCACGUAUUUGUUUUUGCGCUUAUUGACUUUCCACAGCUUUGAUCUUGAACUAGGUUGGAGGAUUUUCUCGAUUCCUCCAAUUGUUGACUUUCCUCAGCUUAUUCUUGAACUGGAUUUGAUUCAAGGGUGGUGGACGCUUGAUCUUGAAUCAGACUUAUGAUUUCCUCAAGGGCUGUCGAGGCUUGAUCUUGAAUUUGGCUGGAAGCUUCUUCAAGGGCCAUUGAGGCUUGGUUCUUGAAGGUUGACUUGAACACAUGGCAAGCAAGCACGAGGUGAAGGUGACGACUUGUCACUUUGUUCAAUCUUUCUAAUUCACACCUGGGCAGUUUGGUCAACGGUAUGAUCUUCAAGAUUGAUGGGCUCUUCUUCUGGUUGGUGACUUGAUCUUUAAGGAUUUGAUUCAAGGGUGGUGAAUCAGCACGUGCAGCCCACAACGCCUAGCGAGUCGACCCAAGAAUUUGAGGGUCAAAACGAGUCCUCCACCCAGAGUGAUUGCAAACCUGAUGAUAUGAGAUACUUUUGAUUUUGAAGAAGUAGCGGAUGAAUCGGCACGUGCUUUAUUGUGAUUGUCUCCACAUGCUUCAAUGUAUCAUUUUCCCUUGCCUUAUCUAUUCUUUUGGCAAAAUGUGGCAUCUUCUCGAGUUCCUCAGCUCAGACUCCUUCUGCUGAGUUGACUGUGCAAGCUGCAUUCUUCUCUGCUUGUUUCUUCUACACGUUGUCUCCAUAUGCUGCAAGGUAUCAUUUUCACUUGCCUUAUCUGUUCUCCAGGCAGAUGUGGCAGCUUUUUUGGAAGUACAGCAGCAGUGGAAGACGAGUACUCGAGAGCAGUGCUAGGUAGGCAAUCAGGGAAGGGUUCCAAGCAGUCGGUUCCUUACCCGAGUUUGAGUGGAGGUUCUGGCAUAUUGCUUUCUUUAUCCUUGUCUUUGCAGGUAAGAACAAGGACAAAGGAAAGGACACGGAGAAUGCAUGAUAUGAGAUACUCUUGCUUUCUACCCUGGUGAUAUGAGAUAUUUUUGCUUUGGUGUCAUCUGUUUGCAGAGGUACCCUAAGGAAUAAGGAACACUGAGUAACUCGAAAGGCUUCGUUGGGAAGGCAUUCUCGGAGAUGAAGAAAGGUUCUGUAUGUCUGCCUUGCUAUGGAGGGUGAAGGUGGACAGUUAUAGGAAGUUCUUUAAUACUUGUAAAGGUACUAUUCUUUCACUCGUGUCGGCAACCAUUGCGUGAUUGAUCAGUAUGGCUUCACGUGUUUUGUUCUUUAUCAGAAAUCUUCGACAAAUUGUCCGUAAUUUCCGCCAAGCUGAGUGUGCAUGUUAUAGGUGUUGACGAGGCUGAAAAAGACUGGCACCUCUUCGAUAUCUGGGAUUGGCGCUUCGACAAAUUGCCCGUGAUUUCUGCAAAGCUGAGUUUGCGUGUGACGAAUGCUGACGCGUCUGGAAAAGCAAGAUGUCUUUCCGAUUUCUGAGCUUGCCUCUUCGAUUUUUGAAUUGGCCUCUUCGAAUUCUGAGCUCGCCUUUUCGAUAUCUGAAAUCCCGUCGACUGCUGAUUUUUAUAGAGGCACGCAGUUCGUUUCAAAGCACACAUGAAUUUUUGCUUGUAGAAACUCCCUUCAUGCACUUCUAAGAUCUUGAUUCGUCCGGCCUCCUCUUUUUUUAACACCUUUGAAAAUGUCUGGACCCUCCGAUCGUCAUUUUGACUUGAACUUUGGUUAAGAGGUAGUCCCGCCUUCUCCAGACAACAUAUGGCGCCCAUCCUUCAUAUCCCAUACUGGUUCUCUUACCGUUGGGGAUUCGGUGAUGAAGAAUGAUAUGACUGAUGCGAAUAAUAUAAGCAACAAAUUAAACCCUCUUUUUGACAAUUGUAGCAAAGUAUGUAAGUAGGGAUCGUUCUAAACCGGGGAUUAGGAGGGCUUGCUAAAACCUCUAAACUGACUCAAAAACAAAAAGAAACAAAGUUAAAAAUGUAAACAAAAGAUUUUAAAACAAGAAAGUAAAAGGGGGAUUUGAGUUUGGUGAAGUUGAAAGUAAAAACGAAUAAACUAAAAACUUAAAUAGAUUUUAAACAAAUUUGGGUUGAAUGGAUAAUGGAAGGCUAGCUAAGGGGUUCUUCUCCACACAUGUCUUGCUUGCAUACAAAAUGAUUUCCAAUUGCUCUUCGAUAAGUUAUGAAUACUCAACGCCCCAAAUUAACCGUGAAUUGCACUAAUUAACUCUAACUCUCAGUUUUUUCAACAAGUUAUUAGAUUGGAUGAUUGCAUACGACAACCCAAAACAUUCCCUACAAGUUCCCUACAUGAAUUGCAUAAUAGAGAUACAAGCAAGAAUCAUUAAGUUCUAUGAAAAGCAUAAGCAUUGACGAGGCACUCGUUACUAUGAUUUGCAUGAAACUUAUGCCAAGAAUUUACUUAACGUGAUUGUGACUAGCAACCUUCACUACUUGUGAAUAUAAGUUCAUAACGAUUAGGUGAAACUCCCUUAUAUUCUAGCGUCAAAUUUCAUGCAUGAAAAUUAAGCGUGCACUCUCAACCAACAUACACAAAUUAGUUUUUUAUACGAACGGAUAAGUAAAUUGAAUUCACAAUUCAAGAAACGCAAUUGGAAGUAAUCAAAUCAUAUAGCAAGCAUAAACAUGGUUUUUGAAUCCCCCCCUAGCCAAGGGGGGUUUAGUUCCUCAUUAUUACAAAACAAAGAUAAACAAAUUUAACCAUUGAAAAACAAAGGGAAGAAAGCACCUAAACGUUCCAACGAUCCAUGUUGGAUAGCAAGCGCGUCCAAGGACUUUUCUCCUUCUCCUUGCCGCCACAACAAGGUUGGAAUGAUGUUGAAGGGUUGGUUAUUUGGAGGAAUGGAUGGGAAGGGGUUUAGAUAUGUAGGAAAGGCAAGGAAAGGCUUGGAGAAUGGUUAAUUUCUGGAUGAUUUGAAUGAGGUUGCUGCCAUGGUAUUUAUAGGAAGAGGAUGGACAUGUUUAAUGCAAAAAUCUGGUGGAAUGAAGUAGGUGAGGCAUGGCAAGGUGGAGAAUUGUUGGUGAGGGUAGGUAUUGAGUCAUCCACUCACAUGUCAUGGUGAGUGAAGCAUUGCAUCAUCCACUCAAAUGUCAUAGUGAGAUAGGCAUUGCAUCAUCACUAAAAAAUCUGGUGGAAGUAAAACAAAGGGAAGGCCACGGCAUUGAUGAAUUUUAUGGGGUAUGCAUGGUUUUGAGUGAAGUUUUGGCCAAUCCUUCUAGAAAUUUAUCCCUUCUUGCAACUUGUAUUUGUUCACCAGAUUUUUAGCAUGUUCCUAGCCUCUUUUGUCUUCAAAUUCGUCCAUCCAUCUUGCUCAUAUCAUAUGUAAUCCAUUCUAAGCUCAAAACUGCUCCAAAAUGCACUUUCUUGCUACCUUAGCCCUUUGGACCUACAAACACACGAAAAUGGCUUAAAGUACUAAAAUAACUAAGAACUAAUAACGUAAAUGCAAGAAAACUAGUUAACUAAGUCGCAUAAAUAUACGUCUAUCAAUGACCGCUGCGGUGGUGGCCAGGAACCUUGUCACUCCCACUCCCAAAGAUAACAGACUACUUUCCAAACGGUUUGAUGAGUUGGCUGUUAAGGAUUCUCUGGCUCUCAGUGUGCAGUGCGCAGGGUCUGUGUCUAAUAUGGCCUAACGCCUAUUUGCUUGAACCCGCCAAGUUAAAUCAUUGGCGGCUGAAGUGAUCAGUCUCAAACAGGAGAUUAGAGGGCUUAAGCAGGAGAAUAAACAGUUGUAUAGGCUCGCACAUAGCUAUGCUACAAACAUGAAGAGGAAGAUUAACCAGAUGUAGGAAUCUGAUGGUCAGAUUUUACUUGAUCAUCAGAGGUUUGUGGGUUUGUUCCAGCAGCAUUUGCCUUCGUCUUUUGGGGCUGUACCGCGUAAUAAAGCUCCAAAUGAUCAACCUCCGAUACCUCCUCAUUCUGGUGCUCCGCCAACUGUUGAGGUACCAUCUGAUCAAUGAAGGCUCCCUUAUAUUUGCUGCUUGCACAUUUGUAAAUUUUUUUUUUGUUUGCAUGUAAAAUGAAUUUUAUGUAAUCUUUCCAGAGAAAUAAAUAAAAUGGACUUUAUUUCCCUCAAUGCAUUUGUUUUUCUUCUUUUUUUUUUCUUUUUUUUUGCUGUAUACAUACAUAUAUUAUGCGCGCGUGCGCGUACACACACACAUAUAUAUAUUAUUUAUUUAUUUAUUUUUUAUUUUUAAUUAUUUUUUUUUCACGUGGGCUGAUCCACCAUUCCAAAACCUUUUCCCUUUUUUUGCAUGGUGCUAGCCACCAAGAAUCCACUUUCUCCUUUUUUUAUACAUUUUUUUUUCUUUUCCGUCUGCUUUUGGUGCCAGAUGCACCCUUUCUCCUGUGUCGUGCAUCCAGCAAGCUUCCAUCAUUAUUAUUUUUUACACGUGGUGCCAGCACCAGUUUGCUCCACCAUCCUUUUAUUUAUAUUAUUAUAUAUAUUUUUUUUGUAUAAAUUUGGGUGAUGGGUAGAGGAAUUUGCAGGAAGAACGAAGACGGACGAAGAGCUACAGUCGAGGCUUCAUGACCGGCUAGUCGUUUGAUGGCGGUCAUUGAAGUUCUUCGCCGUUGCUGUUUGCCACUGCCACUACACAACCAUUGCACCGCCACUGCAUUCUUGUUGCCUUGCACCGCAACCAUUGCACAGCCGUUGUAUUUUAUUUUAUUUUUUUUUUUUUUUUUUGCAGAGUUCAAAAUGUAGCUGUCCAUCUCGUUCAUAUUCCCGUGCUUCACUAAAGCUACAACUACCGACGGAGCACAAGCUAUGUGGGCUUCGAUGUGUUUGGUCGUGGGUUCAUUCUUCCUUGUCAAUCUCGAUGCCACAACGGCCUCCCUAUAAUACGAAGCUUCUUCCAACAGCACAUUCUUCUUCUUCUCAGUCAAACCCAAAAUCCCAUCAAUCUCUUGGGCAUUAUAUCGAGCACUUAGCGCGAACACCGCCCGAUCCCAUAAAACUGACCUGGAAACUUUCUCAGAAACAGCGUUCUUGGCAGCCCCAUUGCCGGUAAUAAUGUGGCGGACAUCAGUGUUAAGACCGUGCCAUUUGCUGAGAGUGAAGAAGAUUUGAUGGGAGCUGAUGGAACCCUGUUGGAUGCCUUUGUGAGCCAUGGAUUCGAGGCAGCUUUCGAGCUUGGUUCGGCAAUUGGGUAAAGUGGUCGGCGAGCAAUUGGACCAGGAAGCCCAUGGAAACGACCGAUUGAACUGCGAGUGGUGGUCUUUGAUAGACUCGGUGAAGUCGACGUAGCCAGUGAGGUGAGGGCCUUUGUUCCACUCCCCCAGCAGACAUUCGAGGAUGAGGGUGGUUUUGCCGGCGCCUCUAGGGAAGUCGCCGUUGGCUGUUGCUGUUGAUUUUAUAGAACCGGUGGAAGCGCCACUUCGUAUUCUCGUCCCAAGAGUGCUUGAGGACGGAGACGAGGACUUGCAGAGGUCAUGGAAGAGUGCCACGGCAGUUUCAGCGAGGAGCUUGUCCUGCUGCUGUAGUUUGCAGGAGUUGAUAGAGGCAAGGAUGGAGAAGGCAUGGAGGAGGUAGAAGACGAAGGCUUUCUAUUUGUUCUCGAAAUUCUAGGAAUGUAUUUCUUAGCUUAAUGCAUCAAACACGUCUCCACCAUCUCCAAGCUCAGAUCUCUAGAUUUCAUGGCGGAAAUUAACCGCUUGAAGAGUAGCAAGCUUAAAACCACCAAGUCUUCAAGCCAGGAAUCUGCGUGUCUACUCAUUCUUCGCCCGCCGGCGGCGUCGAUCCCAUUCCAUAAAAUUAGCUGUUUUGAAGCAGAAGAAGCCGAAACCGCAUCUGCAUUUGCAUUCCGAUUAGGUUCACCGUUGCUAACCGGCUAGCCGAACAGGGAGGGAUCGGUAGACGUGGCGUGGGAGGCGACGGAGUCUAUGCACCUCUGCGUAAUCCCUAAAUUCUCUACCAAAGGCAUGACUCGCUCGCAGGACUUGAGAGCUCUGAGCGACUACUUGAAGCUUUUUAGCACCGACUGAAAGAGAAACCUCUCGGUCUUGGAAAUGAGGUUGUCCUCCGAGUACUCUUCCGUCAUAUCCAAAUACUCCCCAGCGCAGCGCAACGGCACGAUGUUGGAGGAGCUCAGGUCGAUUUUGACGACGUAGCAGAACUUGGCGGUGAUCUCGAAGGUCUCGGAGCCGCCGGGGAAGUCAGAUAGGGAUAUUUGGCACUGGACUUCUUCGAUUUCAUCGUCGUCGUCGUCCAUUUGGUGAUGGGGGUUUGAUGGGUUCGUCUCCCAUGGCGGAGUGUUCUCGAAAUCGAUAUCUCGGGAUCGUGGGGACGAGUUGUGGGACUCAGGAUAGGAGUGGGUUUCUGAGUCUAUAACUGGAGAGCUGGGUCCAAAUGGAUUUUGGGAUAUGGAGAAGAAGCAGCCUUUGGGCUUUAAUGAGGGUUUGGAUUUGUAAGCGAAUUUUGAGCAGGCCUUGGUCUCUCCCUUGAUAAAUGACAAAAAAUGAAAGUGGGCUUGGGCCAGAUCUUGUUUAGAAGAGAGGCUGGCACUAUCCUAGGUUGCGCCUGACAUUUGGGCUUUGUUCCUCAGCUGCUAAGACUUGCAUGUUGCUGUCCAUAUAUAUAUAUAUAUAUAUAUAUAUAUAUUUGUAAUAAAAUUGACCUUCUUCAAUAAAGCAUUUAUUUUUUAUUUUGAUGUGACUGAACUCGAAGUUGAAUGUUCAAGCUGCCUACGUACCUUUCCAAAGAAAGAGAUCAAGUCAAAACAUAGUUUGAAUACAUAUAUAUUUUUUUGGUAUUUUCUUUUUGUGCCGUUUGCAGUUUUAACUCGUGCAGACCACGAGCGUUGGUGUUGCUUUUUAUGCUCGUGCAAACCAGGAGCGUUGUGCCAUGCAGUUUAGGCUCUUGCGGACAAUGAGCAUUGGUGUUGCCUUUUAUGCUCAAGCAGACCAGGAGCUUUGUGCCAUGCAGUUUAGACUCAUGCGGGCGAGGAGAAUUGUUGGCUCGUUAAGCGAUUCGAAAGAGUCGUUCCUUGCAAUCUUUAUAGCAAGGAGCCUUGACUGAGUAGUUGAAGAAGUCUUCUGGGAAGAUGUCAUGCAUCGUGAUGGGGAUGGAUGAUCUUCGUGUCAAAGUUUCAUUAUCUUCAACACUUUCACAUUGUUCUGGAGGUUGACAGGAGCUGCUUUGCCUCCUUUCCCAUUGGUGAACUUGUGGAAGAGAUGGUUGCUGCCUGGAGAGGCGUUCCUCACAAUCUUUAUAGCAAGGAGCCUUGACCGAGUAGCUGAAUAAAUUUCCUCAUCUUCAACACUUUCACAUCGCUUUGGAGGUUGGCGAAAGCUGCUUUGCCCCCUUUCCGAUUGGUGCACUUGUGGAGAAGACAUAUGCUUACUGUGCAGUUUCUUCGGAGUGACAUGAGUCUAUCCUUCAACUUUACUCGGCUUGACUGGCAUGGUUUUGGAGCAUGCCCUCAGCGAUUGAGGUGAAGAUUUUGAGUUGACAGAGCCGGAAGUGACAUUUUCUUCCUGGAUUUCGUCUUCUUUGUCUUCUUGGGCCUCCUCUUCAGUGCGGUCCUCUUGGGUUUAUUGCCGUGAAGAUUGGCCGGUGUAGAUGAUGGUGCGCCUCCUUACUUUCAAUGGUCAUUUUGUGUUGACUUCCAAAGUUGCUUGGCGCUUCAUCUUUGAAGGAAUCAAGCUUUGAACAUCGUCUUUUCCUGCUAGACUGUCAAGCUUUUCUUCCUUUGGUGUUGUCUUCAUGUUUUUAGAAGGCUUCUUAGUUUCUUCAAGUCUGUCCAAAGUCGACCAUUGCGGAGGAGAUCUAGUUGUGCCGCUUUGUUUCUUAGGUUCUAAUAACCUUUCAAAGAUAGAUCUUUGUGAUGUUGGCAUCUCAAGCCUUUUGAAGACGGAAGUUCGGUCUCGACCACUGAUGCAAUCAAGUGCCGAAAUUCUAGGUUUUGAAUGAUUCAGCCUUUCGAAGAUUGAAGUUCGAGGAGCGGGUUUAGGCUCCUCUUUUAGCCUUAUGGCUUAUGGUCUUGGCUUCCUCGUUCUUUUGUAGGUCGUCGAUGUCCACCCUUUCUUAUCACCAGUAGAUGCAUCUUGGUUGCUUGCCCCCGGUGAUGGUUGUGUAGGAGGUGCCUUGUGACUUGAACAUUGACGGGAAUGGUCAUGCAUGCUUUGGAGAUGCACAGGAUCGAGUGAUCCAAACACGAUAGUAGUAGUGUGUGCCGCAACCGUGUCUUCGAGGUCAAGCUCGAUUUUCCCUUGUUGUGCUAGCUUCAAGAUGAGAUCUUUCAGUAUGAAGCACUUUUCCGUUGGAUGACUGAUGAAAUGGUGGAAUUUACAGUACCUUGGACUAUCGGUACGAUUCAUCUCUCUUGGACUAUCGGUACGAUGACCUUCUGGCCGUCUACACACAAGUCUUUUAACAUGGCAGCCACAUCAGAGUCGGGGAAUGGAUAAGUCUUCUCUUCAAGCUUCUUCAAAGUGCGUCUACGCAUCUCUUGAUCACGAAAAGCUUCGAUUUGAAUCACCUUGCCUCGUGUAGAGACUUUGACGAGAGCUGUGUUGACCGUCAUUGCUUCCUUGGUGGAUUUCCACACAGCCUUCUCCACCUUUGUCCCAAGAACUUUGUCGUUCUUAUAGUCGGCGAUCGGUUCUUUCUUCCCAUGAUGGGCGAUGUUCAACUCCAUGUCAUGGGCGCGGGUGGCUAACUCCUCAAAGGUCCGUGGUUUGAUGCCUUGAAGGAUGUAGUGUAAUCCCCACUGCAUGCCUUGAACACACAUCUCGAUCGAGGAGGUUUCCGAAAAUCUAUCUUUGCAGUCAAGACUUAAAGUGCGCCAUCGGUUGAUGUAGUCAACGACUGGCUCAUCCUCCCACUACUUCGUAUUUGUUAGCUCCAGCAUGCUUACAGUGCAGCGGGUGCUAUAGAAACGGUUAAGGAAUUCUCUUUCCAAUUGCUCCCAAUUGUUGAUGGACUCAGGCUCUAGGUCUGUGUACCACUCAAAGACGUUUCCUUUCAGCGAGCGCAUAAACUACUUAGCGAGGUAGUCUCCUUCCGUCCUCACGUUGUUGCAAGUUUCGACGAAAUGGGUAACGUGCUGCUUUAGGUUCCCUUUUCCAUCAAACUGCAUGAACUUUGGUUGUUGAUAACCCCUUGGCAUCUUCAGGGCAUCAAUCUUCUUGGAGUAUGGCUUCGAGUAGAAUAAGGAGGUAUGUGAGCUCCCUUCGUAGUGCGCCUUGAUGGUGUUGGUGAUCAUCUCUUGCAGCUGCUGGAUAGAAAGAGAUCCCAUGAGUGCCGCUGCUUGGUCUGGCUCUAGCUUCACAUCGAUUUUCUCCACCGCAGGCUCCUCUUCUUUGCCAGCUCCUAUUUUUAGUGGAUCAUCCUCUGGGUUGGGGUUCUCACCGCCCUGUGGCUCCAGUCGGCUGACGAGUGUAGCGAUUUGCAAGUCUUUUUCUUCUACAAUCUGUGUUAGCCUUGUGAUCGCUUCAUUCAUAUGAGCCAAUUGUUCUUCAAUAUAGGUAACGCCGAUGGUCAUGACUUGUGCAACCAUCAUACGCGACUCUUCAGGCAUCCAAGGUGCUGAUGAAGGACCCCGAUGGCUGCUUUGGGAUGUCAUCUGAUGUGCCUUAACGGCAUGCUUCGAUGCCCCCAACGAGGUUAGGUUGAUGACAAACUUGCGUCUUUGAUGCUUCACUUGCUCUUUCAGCGGCACCGACUUUGAGGUGGUUUGUUGAAGAGUAGUUGUGGCGCCAAUGGAUGCUCCGUUUAUGACAGAAGUGCUCAGGCUUCUUCCUUUUGUGAGAAUGGCUUGUCCUUUGCUUGAUGCCAUUGAUUUUGGAAGUGUGCUUGAAUUUCUUGAACGGAUAAAGAGAUGAGAGGUAGAGAUUAUAUCCCACCGGGCGUGCCAAAUUUGUGAACACGAAUUUUUCCUGAAACAAAAUGAGACAAGAACACGUGCACAAAAUAAUAUUUGUAUUUGAUGAUUUUAGGUUACAAUCUCUCUAUAACUUUGAUCCUUUGAUUUGAUCUCCGUAAGGUGUUGAUUUGUAGAUGUUUCAUUGAUCCAAGGGCCGUCGAGGCUUAAUCUUGGAUGAACUGUUAGAAGUUUCUUCAAGGGCCGUGGGCUUGAUCUUUGAAGGUGGAUUUAAGCGGAUCUUCAAGGAGCUGUUGGGGCUUGAUCUUAAGGAUGAGUGUUUCUUCAAGGGCUGUUGAGGCUUAAUCUUGAAUAACGGUGAUGAACGAAUCUUCAAGGGCUUUUGGGCUUGAUCUUGAAGAAUAGUGGUGAACGGAUUUUCAAGGGCUUUUGGGCUUGAUCUUGAAGAACGGUGAUGAACGGAUCUUCAAGGGUUUUUGGGCUUGAUCUUGAAGAACGGUUGGAUGUAUGGAUUUGUUGACGUUUGUUGAUCCAAAGGGCCGUUGGGGCUUGAUCUUAGGAUGAACGGAUGAUGAACGAUGAACACUUUCUCCAAGGGCCGUCGGGGCUUGAUCUUGAAUUGGUGGAAGUUCUUCAAGGGCUUUUGGGGCUUGAUCUUGAAUUGGUGGAAGUUCUUCAAAGGGCCGUCGGGGCUUGAUCUUGGAAGAACGAUGAACGAAGAACGAAGAGGGCUUUCUUGAUUCUUCGGGAACCUGGAUGCUUGAGAGCUUUGUAGUUUCAGAGUUUCAGAGCUUCAAGGUUUUGGUGUAAUAUGAAUUGGUGAAAUGAAAUGAAUGAAAUUGGCUUCUAUUUAUAGAAUUUUCCAAGGCCUAAUUUUGAAUAUAAUAUUCCAUAUGAAAUAAGUCAUUUCUGCCAGGUGUUGACAUGUGUCAUGUUUGAUGACUUUUCUAACUUAUUUCGAUUUUUUGUUUAGACACACGCUACGUGUAAAAUUUAUGUAAUACAUUAGCGUUGAAACUUUGAUUUAUCGGUCAACAUUUAUUUACCGAAAUUUUGAUGUCUACAACUGCAUUAAUAAUGAGUCUAUUAAAGUAGAAAAACAACAAUUUAAUUUACCAUUAACAUUUAUUUCACCAGUAGGAUCAUACCCAUUCAUUUUAGGUUUAAAUUUUUUGAAAAGUUUGCAAGGUUUUUUUAUUUAUGAACCCUAACAUAACAUUUUUCAAAAGAGGUAUCAUAAUAAUUGACCAAAGUAAUAUUGUAGAAGCAUACAAAAGCAUAAGUAUAGAAGAAUCUAGUAGUCAAGAUAAUUAUUAUUUGGAAAAAUCAAAAGAAAAUGAUGAAUAUAAAUAACAUAGAAGAGUUUGAUGAAGAAAUAUUUGAACAUGAAUAUCCGAUUUUAGAAGAAGGAACCCGUAUAGAAAUAUUACAGUUAAAUAAACCAAAGAGUUUAGAAGAAUUAUUGCAAUUAGUAGAACAAACUAGAAUUAUAGGAGAAGAUCCACAUUUACAUUGGAAUAAAAAUAAAAUACUAGCAAAAUUAGAUAUAAUUAAUCCAGAUUUAACCAUUAAGACAUCUGAUAUGCCUUGUAGUUUAAUAGAUAAACAAGAGUUUGAGCAACAAAUAAAAGAGUUGUUAAAUUUAAAAGUAAUUAGACCCUCUAAGUCUAGACAUAGAUCAGUAGCAUAUGUAAUGAGAAAACAUUCAGAAAAAUCAUAAAGAGUCUCCAAAGUCUGAUGAACAAGUUUGUAGAUAUUCAUCAGGAAAAUUUAGUGAUAUACAGUUAAGAUUACCAUCAACAGAUUUAGAAAUUUUAGGAAUAAUUAACUCACUUGAACCAUUCUCUUUAUUUUUACAUAAUGAAGUAUUUACGAUUAGAACAAAUUGUCAAAAUAUAGUUUCUCAUUAUGACAAGAUACAUGCUAAUAAACAGGCAGCCCGAAGAUGGGUUAAUUUUGUUGAUUCAAUUACAGGAAAUGGUUUUAAACCAAUUUUUGAACAUACAAAAGGUAAUGACAAUACAUUAGCCGAUAUCUUAUCAAGAUUAAUUUGUUGAACAAGAAUGGAAUAUAGUGGAUCACCAUCCUCAAAUAGCACAAGACCACAAGGCAGAAGAACACAUUUCAGUAGCAUAAUGAUGCACCAUUAGACUCAACCAUUCAGUGGAUUCCAAAAUGGCAUAAACAGACCAGCAUCACCACCAGUACUCACUUUCAACUUUAAUGGCAAUAUUGUGGAAGGAAUAAAAAAUCCAACUCUGAGGUAUAGGUUAAGGGUACCAGGGCUUUCUGAUAGGCAGUAGGUUCUCUUAGAUAAUUUUUGGAAUAUCCAAAUCAAAUAGCCAAGCAUGAGGUUAGGUCAUGAAAAAAUAAUUAGAGCCUUAGAACAAGAGUUUGAUAGCUUUAAUUUUAAUUUCCAUCAAAACCAGCAACAUAUUCAUUCUCUUGAGCACAAACUUCAAGCCAUUUCUAGAGACCAUGAGUCAUUACUUGGUAAGUUUACCAAAAUGAACCAAGAACUCCAAUCUCUUAGAAUGCAGCAGAAGGCAAGUGACACCCAGAAAAGAGAAUUGAAAAUAGAUUUGGAAACUGAUCAGCAUAAGAAUAAAGGAAAAAAGGUUAUUAAACCCAUAGAACAAGAGGCUAGUGAGCCCAUAGAAGAGAUUAAGAUUAAGCUCUUAGAUGAAAACAUUGAAAUGGAGCAGGAUCAAAAUAAUGAGUAGUAUCAGCAUCUAAGUGACAAAGAAAAACAAGAAAGAUAUGAAAGUUUUCUUAGGAAUAGAUCUUUAGACUUAAUAAUAGAUGAUAUCCUAUUAGAAGAAAUUUCAAAAGCAAAAUUAAGGAUAAUGCCACCAGAUAUGCAAAAUGAAAUCAUGAGCAGAGCAUCAUAGUCCAUGAAAGAGUUACAAUUACAAUUACAAUGUGCUUUGUAUCAGUCCAUCUUUUAUCCAUCGAAGCAGGGUACGGCGGCAGAGAGUCACGCGCGUGAAUGUCCUUGGCCAGCACCUUCCCAGCCACAUCGUGAAGGGGCAUAGUGAGGGGCGGUAGGCGAUGGACCACUCUCAAAACUGUUUCGAGAGCAUCCUCUACUGAGAUGGCGGUGCCUUCGCUGCUGCUUCUAUCCUCUCUUGUCUCCCUCAUCGUCAACUGCGGCUCUUUAGCCACGCCACCCUUUAUACAACUGGGUUUUGUUUUGUUUAUUUAUUUAUUUUAUUAUUAUUCCCCUUUUGUGUUAUAAAAUCAUGAAUAUACAUGACGGACAUGUCUUCAGAUGCAUUGACGGGAAGCGAGGUUACUCGCCCAAAAACCAAUAGCUACAAAUCUUAAGGGAUGUUGAUUUUUUUUCCCAUCACAAAAUGUCGAUGCAUUCAAAUUUAAUAGUUUUUUUGGAAGUAUAUGUUUGGAGUAAUGCUAGGAAGAUCAAAUUUUUAAAUAAAAAUUUGUAAGUCAAAUGAUAUGAAUUUUGAUGAUUGAAUUAUUUCUUUUAAGUAUUAAUAAACGUGAUUAUUUUUUAUCGUAUCAAAUUGUAACAAUGAUCCUCAACUUUAACUCAAUUGGAGGAAUGGUCCCUCAACCAAAAAUUCAUGACCAAUGAUCCCUUAACUCCUCAAAACGUGCAGUUAUGAUCCUUUUCGUCAACUGCGUUAGAAUUUUUGUUAAAACGGAUAUGUAGACAUGUAAAUUUUGUUGCAUACAAAUGAUGCAUUACAACGCUCUACGUGGCAUAUGACUCUGAAGGAAAUAUUCUGAAAAACAUGUUCAUUUGAGCAACAUCUAUAGCAUGCAAUUAACAAUUAAAAGGCGGAAUCAUGCUUGCAUGCACUCAAAAACAAUACAUUAACCAUGAAAUUCAAAGCCUAGUAGAUUGGUGAACCUUGACUCAACUUAAAACAACAUUUGUUAGUUGAGAAAUUAUACCUUUGUAGAUUCCUCUUUGCAUAAGCAAAGGCUAAUCACCCAAAGAGAGGGCCUUCAUUCCUUGCAUCUUAGAUCUAUGGAUUUGGAUGGAUGAAAUGGUUCUCCAAGUUCCCAAAAUUGAGAACCUCUAAGUCUCUUCACCAAGGUUAGAUUGAAGAAGAAAUGAGUGACCUUGGAGUAGUAGGAUUGCUAGCUAAACCCUCCAAGGAGGCCGGCCACUUUAGAGAGAAAUGAGAGCUUUUGUUCUCAUCCUUUCCCCAAAAGAAAACCCUGAAUGAAUUUUGGCUAUAAAGUCAUAUUUAUACCUUAAUUCAUUAGAGUGGCAAACUUGUAAAUAAGUCCAAAACUCACUCCAUCUCUAAAUGGCCGACCUUAGGGUAUUAUUGGGCUAAUUGGGCCUUUGUGAAUCAUUAUUCAUUAAGUUGUCAUACAACUUAAUUCAAUGGGCUUGACGUUCAAAGCCCAUUGGGCCUUAAGGUCCAAAACUAUCCUGAGGUCUUUAACGAACUUAUUCGUUUGAUUAAUUAACAUAUUAAUUAAUCCUUGCCAUAAAUAAUUAAACCAUUUAAUUAUUCUUACUCAUCUCCAUUGUUUCUUCAAUCUCCACCUUACACGGUGUACGAUCCAUUAGGUUCCUUUUAGCGAGGCAGUGGACGAUUAAAACCAUUUCAAAUCGAUUGUGAAUUGAAACUUACUUUCAAUUCUCCCUUUAGUGAUUAUACACGUUUAGGGCUUCCACAAACCAUGAGUGACACCUACGUACUUGUCUUGAUCGUGUUCAGUGAACUCAUUCUCUAGUAAGCACCUACGUACUUGUCUUGGUGUCACACACACCAAUGACUCGAGACUAGUCACUUUCCUUGAGAAAAGACACAUCACGUACUAAUCUUAACGGACUGUCAAUGCCCAAUUGGCAAUCCUAUGAUCAGGAACGUUUAGGAUGUGUCUAUGAAAGAAUGGUCUCAUGAAUCUAACUUCUUUAGAUCGCAUUCUCCCAAUCACAUAUUCCUUGGACUUAUCGUUUAAGCGUAUAACAUUUAUAUGAGACGGCUUAAACAAUAAUCUUUGCCCUUGAUAUUAAACUAGAUUAGUUUAACAUGUGAAAUGCCCGUAAAGUAUCAUCAUAUGAUUGGUUUUAGGGCAUAUUUCCAACAGACUCAUCAUAAAUGGACAAGUCAUCAAUGACGUGCCACAAAUCAAGCAAAGGAAGCUCAAAGCAUUCCUAAAAUGCGGCAAAGGGGAAGAAAUCUCCUUAAAAUCGGCAAGGGGCCCAAAUUGCUCCUAAAAUCGGAAAGAAAGCUAAAGCAUCUUCACAAAACAAGUAAGGAUUGAAGAUUGCUCGCAAAAUAGGCAAGAAAGAGCCCUAUAGAUUUUGGCCAAGCAAGGGAAAGUGGCUGAAAUUAAGACGCAAAACAUGCCUAAAUUCUCCCAUGGACGAAUCAAGACACAAAUCAAAGCUAAAUCCAUCUAAAGGCAAACUUUGAGAAGUUUAUAAAUACAAGGUGCUUAGACAAGUAUAAAGGUCGACAAUUUAUACAUUAAAGGGCCGAAAUUCUCACAAAAAGAGGACCUCUGCCAAAUCUUUGAAGACUAAUACGCUGCCAAGGCUCUCUUCGAAGAACGUACAACUAAAGCAGAAGCUUUCUUUUGACCAAAGCCAAAGCAUUCCCUUGAAGAAUCAACAAGCACCUAUGCCGAUUUCUUCAAGACUUUGUUGCAAGCUUAAAACUUGUAACAAUGUUCGAUUCAAAAUCAAGUCUGAAUCAACAAAAUCCCACAUCAACAUCACCUUUGCCUCAACCCUAAACCUGAGGUGAAGACUAUCAAAGCGUUGUUUCAAGCCCAAAACUUGAAGCAAUCGUUUAAUCGGUCGUUACUUGAAGUAAUCGUUCAAUCGGUCGUCAGAGAUCAAGUCAUCGCGACCCUUGGAUCAACAACCUACGCAUCUACAUCAAAUUUAAAGACUGAAUCAGAGGAAAGUUGUAAAUAGAGAUUGUAAAUCAAUACAUCUACUUUGUACAAGUGUUCUUGUUUCAUUCGUUACAGAAUUUUUAUGUCUACAAAUUUGGCACGCUCGGUAGGACCUUUCUGCCUCUUAUCUUUGUCUUUAAAUCCACAAGAAAUAUACAUGGCAUCAAGAAAUGAUCAAGCUGUUCCGGCAAUCAACAUGAAGAACAAGAACAUCCUUGUCGCAAGUGGUGGAACUUUGGGCAUCACAACCCAUAGCAAGGUAAUAGCUCUCUUUGGUGUGCCUUCCACACCUAUAUCAACUCUGCCGAAUGAGUAAGAGCACCCGAGGCAUGAGCCCGUGAUCACCUUGGCCUCGCUAAGGGUGCCAAGGGAAGAAAGCCCAAUGAGGUACUCCGAGUCGGUGAGUUCUGAUGCUGACUCAAGUAGCAGCUCGUAUCCCGUAGCCAUGCAAGUCAUGACUACUGGUGCGACUUCAAUCGAAAAGCAGUAGGCAUAAAUGAGCAAAGCAAUUGCAAGGCUGACAAGGACCGUGGAGGAAAAGAACUUGCAGAUUGCUACACUCGUCAACCAUCUGGAGGCGCAGCACGAUGAGCAAGCUGACCCAAAGUUUGAUCCACCAAAGGAGAAAGUUGACAAAAAUAAGGAGCCUCUUAUGGACAAAGCUAAUGAGAAGCUAGAGGUGGACCGAGCUACGAUGCUCAUGGAUCUCUCUCUAUCCAACAUCUGCAAUAGAUGAUCACAAGCACCAUCAAGGCGCAGUAUGAAGGAAGCUCACAUGACUUCGUGCUAUAUUCAAAGCCUUACUCUAAAUAGAUUGCGUCUUAAGGAUGUCAAGGGGUUAUCAGCUCUUGAAGAAAUUCAACAUCAGAAUUGCUUCAAGGGGGUUUCUUCUAUGAACUUUAGUUUCACUCAUGUUGUUCUUGAUAUUUAUAUAUUAUGUAAUCAUGUUAUGUAAUUAAGUUCAUAAUUGGGGAUUUUGAUGUAGCCUUGCAAAACUACUUUAUGUUAUUAAGUUAAAGUAUUCAAACUACCAAUCUGUGUUCUUGUUCCAUUUACUGAUUUUAAGUAUAAUUUGUUUUGUUAAUCUUAAUGUUUGAUCACCAUAAGGGUUUCUUAUAGAUUAUUUGAUCAAGGUUAUAUUACACAUCAUGCUUAAUCUUGGUGGACAUGUGAAUGAAUAAAGAAAUUGUUAUGCAUACAUCCUGCUAUGUGAUUUCUUUGGUUCUUUGAAGUUCUCUUGUUCUUAAUGGAUUCUUAUUUGGUAACCUAAGUUGAACAUCACAACUAGGUUGCAGAUUAAGAGUACUUGAUCACAACCACACAUCAAACGGAUGAUCAUAAAUGAGUAAAACGAACGUUAGUUGUAGAUUGGAGACUUGAAUGCGUUUGGACUUAAUUUUCAUGGAAUUGGCUUGUAAUGGUGAAAUUGGUAUCCCUAGUUCCAUUCCCAUCGGUUUUGAAUUAAUCUAUCAUUGAUCUUUAUAUUGUCUUGCAUUUUAAAUUACUUUAGCUUUCAAAACUAAAAUCUAAAUUCAGUUUUCAUUUUCAUUGCUUAGUUAGGGUUCACAUAAAGCAAGUAAUUUGUAGAGUUCUAAUCAGUCCCUGUGGUUCGACACCCUUGAAGGAAAUUUUUAGGAAAAACCUGUUCAUUUGAGCAACAUCUAUGGCAUGCAAUUAACAUUUAAAGGCAGAAUCAUGCUUAUAUGCACUCAAAAACAAAACAUUACCCAUGAAAUUCAAAAGCCUAGUAGAAAGGUGAACCAAGACUCAACUCAAAACAAAGUAAGUUGAGAAACUUUAUACCUUUGAAGAUUCCUCUUUGCAUAAGCAAAGGCUAAUCACCCAAGGAGAGGGCCUUCAUUCCUUGCUUCUUAGUUCCAUUGAUUCUUGGAGGAGGAUGGUAGAUAGGAAUCUCCAAGUUCUCAAAAUAGAGAACCUCUAAUUUUCCACACCAAGGAGAGACUUGAAGAGGAGAUGAGUGACCUUGGAGGAUGAGAGAUUGCUAGCUAAUCUCCUCCAAGGGGGCCGGCCUCUUUGAGAGAAAGGGAGAGACAUUUUCUCUCCAAUUUUCUCCAAAAGAAACCCUAAGAAUGAAAUGGCACCUCACAAUGGAGUGGCAAACUUGCAAUUAAAGCAAGUUCACUACCCUCCUCUAUUUGGUCGGCCUUAAGGGUUUAUUGGGCUUUCAAGCCCUUUGUUUAUUCAAGUUGUCAUACAACUUGAGUUAAUGGGCUUGACAUUCAAAUCCCAUUGAGCCUUGUGGCCCAAAACUAACCCGAAGUCUUUAACGAACUUUAUUCGUUUGAUUAAUUAACAUAUUAAUUAAUCCUUGCCAUAAAUAAUUAAACCAUUUAAUUAUCCUUACUCAUCUCCGUUAUUUCUUCAAUCUCUACCUUACACAGUGUACGAUCCAUUAGGUUCCUUUUAGCGAGGCAGUGGGCGAUUAGAACUCUUUCAAAUCGAUUGUGAAUUGAAAGUUUAGUGAUUAUACACGUUUAGGGCUUCCACAAACCAUGAGUGACACCUAGCAGUAUGUCAUGGUAACCUAAGCUAAUCAGAAGAGGUGGAGAACCUAUUCAGUUUAGGAUUACAAUGCAAUACGGUAUUUCUCUAAUAAAAUACUCUUGACCACAUUGUUUGGUUUGAUAGUUUAUUCAUGUCUUCUAUCCAAUGUAAUUAUCUUACUUAUAUGAUUACCUUGAAUGUGAUUUGGAACGACUUCCUAAAUCUCAUUCAUACUCUGGCCAGAGAUUCUUAAUCAUAUCAUAGAGUAUUCUCCCUCAAACGGUUUGAAGGUUAGAGAUCCCUUGUUGCGCAUUUACUUGCCUCCAUGGCUAAGUGGCUUAACCCCAACUAUGUUGUGGACACCCUCUGAUGGAGUGACUUUGACAUAGUCAAAGAUCAAGGACCUAACCACAAGACAACUAUGAUGCCUCAGGUCAAAGGACUACUUUGCAUUAUCCCAACCAUGAGUUCUCAUGUGACAUGAGUAUGAGAACUCAUCAUUGAUCGUGUUCAGUGGACUCAUUCUCUAUUGAGCAUCUACAUGCUUGUCUUGGUGUCAAUCAUACCAAUGACUCGAGACUAGUCACUCUCCCUAAGAGAAGACAUAGCACGUACUGAUCUUAACGGACUGUCAAUGCCCAAUUGGCAAUCUUAUGAUCAGGAACGUUUAGGAUAUGUAUACGAAAGAGAAUGGUCUCAUGAAUCUAACUUCUUUAAAUGACAUUCUCCUAAUUACAUAUUCCUUGGACUUAUCGUUUAAGCAUAUAACAUUAUAUGAGACGGCUUAAAACAAUAAUCUUUGCCCUUGAUAUUAAACUAGAUUAGUUUAACAUGUGAAAUGUCUGUAAAGUAUCAUCAUAUGAUUGGUUUUAGGGCACAUUUCCAACAACCCUUACUUGUGCCAUUAUACUAUCCUUAUAUUUCCGUUUGAAAGGAACACAACAAAAUUUUGGCUCCGUUGCCGGGGACUGAUUUCAGUCCCCUUUAAUUGCUUGCUUUAUAAACCCUUUCUAUUUUUAUUUUCUUAGUUUAGAUUUUUCAUUUACAAUUUAGUUUGUUUUGAUUUCAGGUGGUAUAAAAAGAUGUGUGGUGUAUGUCAAUUAUGUGCCAAGACUGGUCAUCCUUUUCAGUUAUGUCCAAAGAGAGAUGAAUUUCUUACAUUUGUCUGAGAGCAUUCACACCUCAUAAGUUUAUCCAACCAAAGGCCAAUACAUCCAUUAUCAAACACAAAUAGCCCUAUUUGGAGAAACCUUAAUAUUGACUCUUGGAACAACAUACAAGCUCCAAAUCAAACAUUUGCACCUCCCCCACAGCAGACCCCUUUGACACUUCGUUGGAGGACACUUUGGAGCUACUUACCAGGUUGGAAAUUCAAUUUGGGUAGAUUGUCCAAGCGUUAAAUGAACAACCAUGUGGUGAUGGUUAAGAUGUGAACGAUGAACAAUCAUUGGAAUCUAGCUGUGCCGAUAUACAUAGAGAAGUUCUUGAAUUUGAAGCUUUUUCCCAAUCUUCUAAUUCUCUAGAAUUUUUUUCGAAAGUUAUGUUGGAUUCUCCUUGUUGUUUUACAUCUUUACAGGUGCCAUCUUUGGAGUAUUUUGGAGAUGAUUUGCUUCCAUAUCAAAAGAAAAACAAAUUGAAGUUGGAUGAUGAAUCAUUACUGCCCAUUCACCAUAAGAAAGAAGAUUCGGAGCUAGACAAUGAGAUUGCUGCCUUGAAUGAAUUUCAUUCAUCCAUUGAAGCCACAUCUUCAACAGUUUUCGAGGAUAUGCUUAUUCGCAAUGAGAGACGAAAACACCAUCACAAUCAAGUCCUUGUGGAAAUUCAACGCACUAUAUUCAAAGUCCCUCGAAAGAAAUGACUUCUUCAGACCAAGGUUCGGAGGUACCUUGACUUCUUGCCACCCUAGGUGUUCAUCUAUCAUGGUACCAUGUCUUGCCUAGAUGUUGAGUGCAUAAAGUUAUAUUUAUAUGCCCUCUUUUACUUAGGUUUUUGACUUAAAAUCUCAAUGGAUCACAAGGUAUUUUAUUGUUUGUAUUGUAUUUCAGGAUGAAAGUAAGGGCUUGAAGAAAUCAUCUUAUUUUGAAUAUUGUAACAAGUGGCCCAAGAUUCGAUAAAAAAGGCCCUUGCUGAACAACCAACUUGCGAGCUUUGCCCCGAAGUGCUCAGAAAAACUUAGAAAAUGGGCCAUAUAUGGUUGGAAAGCCCUGGAAGUCUUCUUUCUGAUGCUCUUUACACCUUGUGAUUUGAAGGUUCCGACAAGAAAUUAUGAUAAGAUAAAGAGGAGCUAUUCAGUUACAAAUUCUGAUAACAGCUAGUUUUCAGUUACUCCAAUAAUAAAAGCUGGUUGUUAUGAGCUAUAAAUGACAGUCAAUUCAAGGAUGUAAAUGUGUCAGAUGUUAUAUAAGUCAAAUAGGAGACAAAUACUCAACAAAAAAACAUAGAAUCUGGAGAGAGAGCAGAAGUCUUCAACCAUGAGCAGUUUCUAGGUUCUAGCUUUCUUGACUUUUUAUGUAUUUUUUUUUUAUGGAUACUUAUGGCUGCUUUGAAGCCUUAUACAUGAUUGAAUUAAUGUUAUGAUGCAGCUUUAGUUUAUCAAUUUCAUUUGCAAGUUAGAAUCAGUUUUCUGUUUUAAUCAUUUGAAGCAUAUAUUUUCAAGCUUAGCUACCUUGUUUAUGUUUGCUUUCUGUUGAGAAUGAUAAGGAUGACUACCAUAUCUCCUUUCAUUCAUUAGCAACAUAUGGUUAGGUUUAGAACUAAUCAUGUAAAUUGAUUCCAUGAAGUUCUAGGAUAAAUGCCAUGUUCUAGGGUUCAUGUGAUGUUCAUAAUCCUCUUCGUUCUUAAUGAGUUUCUAGGUGCUAAAUUUGAGUAUAUGCCAUGCUAGGUUGUGCUGUGUUCCUUUCAAGUCCAAAUAUAAGGAUAGUCUAAUGGCACAAGUAAGGGUGUCGAACCACAGGGACUGAUUAGAACUUUACAAAUUACUAGCUUUAUGUGAAUCCUAACUAAGCAAUGAGAAAAUGAAAACAAACCCAACCUAGUGGGUACCUUUCAACUAGGCACCCCCUCACCUCCAGAUUAUCUUCAUGAUGAUUAUUAUGAAGAUUGUUGGGAUGAUGAUCCGAAUGUGGAGGAGGAUAUUGCAUUCGAACAAGUAGAAAAACAUGGGGAAAAGGGGGAAGGCGGAAAGAGGAAGUAGAAGUAGUGAGGCAAUGGGAGGGUCCUCCUUGGAAAAAGGGUAAUAGGAGAAAGGGUCCAAGUCCGGCGUGGAAUGAUGCUAAGAGGGUAACGAUCACCGAUAAUAAUGAGGAGAAUUCAUUCAUGGCCGAAUGUAAGCAUUGCAAACUCUUAGUACCAGCACACUUUAGAACUCACGGGAUGGUGGGAAUUCUUAAGCAUUUGAGGAAAUGCCUGAGUUCUAGUCUUUUUGAGAAUGUGGAUCCGAACCAACCUACAUUGACACAAGCGAGGAUAGGAGGUUCGAUUGUCACUCACACUUUCAAUAAAAGAAGACUUGAUAGGAGAUGUGUGAGGUGGAUUAUAAUAGCGGAGAUGCCUUUUAAAGUGGUUGAUCAAGAAGACUUUCGAGCUUUUAUUCGUGAUUUGAAUCCAAAGCACAAACUUCCUAAAAGGCAUAAGGUGGUGGCGGCGGUUUUGGAGUUGUAUUUUGAAGAGAUGGCAAAAAUAAAAAGUGUGACUGAGGGGUUGAGAGUGAGUAUUACAACCGAUACUUGGACCUCAAUUCAAAAGAUAAACUACAUGGUCAUCACAGCCCAUUUUUUGGACACUAAUUGGGGGUUACAUAAGAGGAUCCUAAACUUUGUCCAAGUUACUUCUUAAGGGUGAUGAUAUUGGAAGAUGUCUAGAGGUUUGCUUGAAUGAUUAGGGCAUAGACAAGUUGUUUAGCAUUACCGUUGACAAUGCUAGUGCAAAUGACACCGCUAUUGCAUACACGAAAAGAAAACUCCAGUCAAAUGGUACUUUUUACUUGACAGGGCUCACUUUCUCAUAAGGUGCGCUUGUCACAUCCUCAAUUUGAUAGUUAAGGAUGGAAUUGAAGGAAAUAUUUGUAAAAACAUGUUCAUUUAAGCAACAUCUAUAGCAUGCUAUUAACAAUUAAAAGGCGGAACCAUGCUUGCAUGCACUUAAAAACAAAACAUUAACCAUGAAAUUCAAAGCCUAGUAGAUUUGUGAACCAAGACUCAACUCAAAUCAAAGUGAGUUGAGAAAUUAUACCUUUGUAGAUUCCUCUUUGCAUAAGCAAAGGCUAGUCACCCAAAGAGAGGGCCUUCAUUCCUUGCAUCUUAGAUCUAUGGAUUUGGAUGGAUGAAAUAGGUUUCUCCAAGUUCCCAAAAUUGAGAACCUCUAAGUCUCCACACCAAGGAUGGAUUGAUGAAGAAAUGAGUGACCUAGAGGAAGCAAGAUUGCUAGUUAAUUUCCUCUAGGGUGGCCGGCCUCUUUAGAGAGAAAAGAGAGCUUUGUGUUCUCAUCCUUUCUCCAAAAGAAACCCUAAAUGAAUUUUGGCUAUAAAGUCAUAUUUAUACCUUAAUUUAUUGGAGUGGCAAACUUGUAAAUAAGUCCAAAACCCACUCCAUCUCUAAAUGGCCGGCCAUAGGGAUUCAUUGGACUAUUUGGGCCUUUUGUGAAUCAUUAUUCAUUAAGUUGUCAUACAACUUAAGUCAAUGGACUUGACGUUCGAAGCCCAUUGGGCCUUAAGGUCCAAAACUAUCCCGAGGUCUUUAACGAACUUAUUCGUUUGAUUAAUUAACAUAUUAAUUAAUCCUUGCCAUAAAUAAUUAAACCAUUUAAUUAUUCUUACUCAUCUCCGUUGUUUCUUCAAUCUUUACCUUACACGGUGUACGAUCCAUUAGGUUCCUUUUAGCGAGGCAGUGGGCGAUUAGAACUCUUUCAAACCGAUUGUGAAUUGAAACUUACUUUCAAUUCUCCCUUUAGUGAUUAUACACGUUUAGGGCUUCCACAAACCAUGAGUGACACCUAGCAGCAUAUCAUGGUUACCCAAGCUAAUCAGAAGAGGUGGAGAACCUAUUCAGUUUAGGAUUACAAAUGCAAUACGGUCUUUCUCUAAUACAAUACUCUUGACCACAUUGUUUGGUUUGAUAGUUUAUUCAUGUCUACUAUCCAAUGUGAUUCGUUUACUUAUAUGAUUACCUUGAAUGUGAUUUGGAACGCCUUCCUAAAUCUCAUUCAUACUCUUAUCAGAGAUUUUCAAUCAUAUCAUAGAGUAUUCUCCCCCAAACGGUUUGAAGGUUAGAGAUCCCUUGUUGCGCAUUCAAUUGCCUCCAUGGCUAAGUGGCUUAACCCCAACGAUGCCAUGGACACCCGCAGAUGGGGUGACUUUGACAUAAUCAAAGAUCAAGGACUUAACCACAAGACAACUGUGAUGCCUCAGGUCAAAUGACUACUUUGCAUUAUCCCAACCAUGAGUUCUCAUGUGACAUGAAUAUGAGAACUCUUCAUUGAUCGUGUUCAGUGAACUCAUUCUCUAUUGAGCACCUACGUACUUGUCUUGAUGUCACACACACCAAUGACUCGAGACUAGUCACUCUCCCUGAGAUAAGACAUAGCACGUACUGAUCUUAACGGACUGUCAAUGCCCAAUUGGCAAUCCUAUGAUCAGGAACGUUUAGGAUGUGUCUACGAAAGAAUGGUCUCAUGAAUCUAACUUCUUUAGAUUGCAUUCUCCCAAUCACAUAUUCCUUGGACUUAUCGUUUAAGCAUAUAACAUUUAUAUGAGACGGCUCAAACAAUAAUCUUUGCCGUUUAUAUUUAAACUACAUUAGUUUAACUUUGUGAAAUGUCCGUAAAGUAUCAUCAUAUGAUUGGUUUUAGGCAAGGAAGAAAAAAUCGAUAAUAUCGGCGAUAUUUCGCCGAUAUUAUCGUUUUUUUAGGGGUCCGAUAUUUUUUUAACUAUCCAAAUGAUUUUCGUCAAAAUAUCGCGAUAAUAUCGAUAAUAUCGCGAUAUUUUCGAAACUAUCGCGAUAUUUGGCACUGUAGUAACCGGAGAAGAACGCCGGAGCAAAUUAACCGAAUCCCUAAAUCCCCAAAUUCGAAUUCAAAAGCAAAUUAACUGAAUCCCUAAAUCCCCAAAUUCGAAUUCAAAGAAAAUUAACUGAAUCCCUAAUUCCUAAAUCCCUAAAUUCGAAUUCAGUACAAAAAUGAAAUUACAUGCAGAAAAUUCGAAUUCUGUACAAAAAUGAAAUUACAUGCCGAGAAGAAGAGAAGUAGGAGCCUGGGAACGUCGUCUUCCUCACAAAUCCAAGACGGCUGGGACAACGUCGUCCUCCUCACCGACGACUACGAUGAGUUUCGGUCCAUCGUCCGGUGUCCGCUGCCUCCGCUUCUCUCCGGAUCCCAAAACCCGCUCAGGUUUGAUGCAUUAUCCUAGAGGAAUCAGACAUGCAUGUUUCGCUCUACCAUGGAUGGGGUCUGAGAGGAAAAAGAGAGAGAGAGUAGAGAGAAAUGAAAGACUUCUUUCCGUCUCUAUUGAAAUGCGAGAGACUGGGGUUUACAAAGCUUUCAGAAAAGUAAGGUUGAUCUUAACCGUUCCUUUGGAAUCUUAAGGAGCUCCAUGCCGUGAUGCAUGCCACGUGUUCAAAGCUGGAGUAUUCCUAUGUCUGCUCAAUUUACUCGGUUUGAAUUAAAGAGGGGAGAGAGCCGUUUGGGCUCUGACAGAGACAGAAACAAAUCUGCACGCCACUUUUUUUUUUUUUUUUUUUUUUUUUUUUUUUUACGGGGAAUCCAAUGUUUAUUUCAAAAGGGCGUGCAGCAAGUGGCCCGUCACGUCCUGAUCUUUUCCAUACAUCCCAGGUGGUUUGAAGUCCUUUCUUUACAUUUUGUUUUCUAGUUUCUUUCAUUUUCUUUUCUUUUUAUAGUCUUGUCCAUUUUAUUUUUCUAGUGUCACAGUUUUUGUGUUGUGUUUUUUUUAUUUUUUUUAGUUUUCUUUUUAUUUUCCACACCUUGAGGACAAAGUGCGAAAUAAGUUUGGGGGUGGGAAAUAACAUUUUAGGUUUUUAAUUUUUGUGUCAGGAUAAAAUUUUCAUUCUUCUUAAGUUAAUAUCCAUAGAUUAUUUUAAACGUUAAAACAAAUGGACAUGGUAAAGAUUAAUCCCACAGUAGAGUCUUUUCUAUUUAUCGUUGCUUAGACACUAAUUCAUGAAUUAUACUUUAAAGUUUGCACAUCACACUAACAUGGUUUGUGGGGAGUGAGAUUGAAACACUCGCUUUUAGUCUAAGUUUAUUUUUAAAUUUUGUUUUAAGUAAAGUCAGUUAUUAUUGUGAAAAAGAGUAAUAAUUGUCUCACCCGAGGUUUUGCCUAGUAACCGGGCCAGUCCUGCCUAAUCAGCAGUGAUUCUCGCGUCAAACGGUAGAGUUUUGGCAUGGGGCAGGGUGGUUAGUUGGUUUCGUAGCCUUUUCAGCUCUGGUUAAUAAGUCCUUAGGGGUGUUCUACACCUAGUGCCCUAAAGCCCUAGUGGUUUGGGAGUCAUUGACCUAAAGCUCGCUACAUGGGUUGGAUCGAAAGUUUAAGUGAACCGACAUUGCACGACCACUACUGUUACUUUAUCUUCUUCUCCACGUGAAGACCAAAUUCUGUCAGAGAAGAACCAAAAAUGCAAUGUAUAAAGUGUAAAAUAUUGUACUAAUUUAUUAUAUAUAAAUGAUUAUGGUGUGUUUAGACUUCUUUCAUUAAUUACUACAUAUUUUCUACACUCACAAUGUUUGUCAGCUCGCUAUAUAAUCAACUUGAUAAUGUUAAAUCCAUCAUGCAAUGCAUUUCCUUCAAAUAUUUUGUGAUAAACUAAUAGAUAAUUGACUAAAUAAACAUCCUGCAAAGUUUCAAUAAAAAUUUCCAAGUUUUUUUUACAAUUUCCGUGGUUUCCAUGUAAUUUUUAUCGAUAUCGAUAUUAUCCCGAUAUUUCCAUCGAUAUUUCCGUGUUUUCGGACUACCGAUAUUUCCGAUAUUACCGAUAUUUUCUUCCUUGGUUUUAGGGCACAUUUCCAACAAUCUCCCACUUGCACUAGAGCCAAUCAGCUUGGUCAUCAGUGAUGAUACCUCUUCUGUAGUCAUUUCAUAAAUGGCUGAGUAGUAGGCCUAGACAAUGGAUAUCUAUAUGUUAUCCAUAGAAGCAACCUUGAGAAUAACGACGUCACCAUUAUACAUGAUUCUCAAUCAUGUGGUUCAGUCUCUCAUAUGAGUUCGAAUCUUGAUGAGACCUUGAUUCCCUGGCUUGAGCUAUCGCCCCAUUAGUGUCAUAGUGUCGAUACACUAGAUACACUUUCUGGUUGGAACCGAAUAGAGAGUUCAUAAAUGAACUUUCCCAUCCAAACAACAUUGUUGUAAGCUUCUAUAUGGCAAUAUAUUUUGCAUUCAUAAUGGAACACACUAAAGUCAUUACUUUAAUGUUUCCAUCCAAAUAUCUCUUUAGUCAUAAUAAAGAGAUAUCUGUUUAUCUCUUCAUUCAUAAUGAAGAAACAUCCAAUGAUGGAUUAGAUUCAUAAUCUAAUACAUUUACGCUUCCAUUACGUUACUCUAAUUCUUCCUCAAUUAUUGAGGAAUCUAUCCUUUAGUAUUUCUUAAAUACUUAAGGACUCACUUGACAGUUGCCAUGGUUCUGAUCCUGGGCUUGUACUGAUAUCGUCUUGUACCUUUCUAGGUACAACUCAUAUCAAUGUUUUUCAUACAAUAUGAAAUACAUAAAUCACCUUUCUGCUUACGCAUAAAGGAUUCUAUUUACGCAUUAUUUCUUUGGGAGUCAAAGAGUACGUUCUCUUUGAGAAGAGCAACUUCUUAGUCUCACUAGAGUUGUCCUUUUGAUUGAAGUUCAUCAUUAUAUGAGAAACUUCCUAUCAUCUUUUGUCUAUAUUUAGGGCUUGAUAUAAUCCAAUUAUAUCCUAAAAUCUAUCAAUAUAGAUUUCCAUCCCAUGUAUAUAGACUAUGUCUCCCAUAUACAUUCUAUCUUCAUAUAAUGUUUUAAAGUCAUAACUUUAACGAAGAAGUAUUCUUUUCAUUUCCAAAAUUAAUAUAUCAUAUAUAUGUUAAAUUUUAGGAAUAUGAUUAACUCCCACUAAUCUUUUGUAAACCUAGUAAACAAAAGAUUCAUUUACAUCUUUAUGAGAAAUCAAACGAUUUGAUCCUUUUCUCAUAAAAUGCUUAUAGCUCCCACUAGCUUGCUAAGAUUCAUGAUGGAUAGAUCUCUACAACUUACAUGUCUUGUGAUUUAUAGUUUUAGACAUAUAUUAUCAAGACUAUCUUAAUAAUGGUUUCGAAAACUCAUAUUAUGUCCAAACAUUGAAUCACCAUUUAGUUGUAGCUAGCAAUCUUCGAAUUAAUUGAAACCAAGACUAUCUCAAAAAUGGUUUCUUCAAAGUCACCCAUUCUCUUUGAUUGUAGUCACCUUAAGCUACCAAUUAGCUUAUGAAGGUUUCAUUAUUUCGGGUCAAAUGGUACUUUACCAUUUCCUUGAGUAUAUAUCAUAUAUACACUCAAUGUAGUCAUAAGGAUUUUCAUUCUUAUUUCUUUCGAAUUAAGAUGUGCAACUCUAUGACAUAGUCAUAAAGUUCAAACCAUUCAACUGAGACGGUUUAUAAAUCCUUCUCGACUACCUUGGAGCUUUGGUAUAGGAACUAGGUUGUUAUAUUUGUUGAUUAUAAUCUUGUCUCUCAAAGAACCCAUUCUUUGAGUUCUAUCUUUCAUUCAUUUGCUCUUAGGCAAAUCAUAUUGUAAGACUACAAUGAACUACCCAACAAAACAACAUUUGUUAGUUGGUUUAUAGAAGCGAUAUCCAAAAGUUAAUUUAAGGAUAUCCCACAAGAUUGUUAUCAAACAAAUAUUGCUUAUUAGCACACAACCCCAAAUCUUAACAUGCUUGAGAUUUGUCUUUCUUUCCAACUACAUCUUAUGGAGUUAUGAAAAUUUUGGAAGAUCUUCUAAUUGACAAUCAUAUUGUCUUAGAAGUAUAUAUCCUAUAUAUGGGUAAUUGAUAAUAUCCAAUGAACUAAAUCUUAUUCAAGUUCGUUCUUCUCCUUAUGGAGAAAUCCAUUAUCAUAUGAUGCUUCUUUCCUUGAUAUCUUUCAAGAAAACUAUUCUAAAGUGUUACCAUUCCUUGGAUCAAAUCUAAGGAUGUAAAUACUUUAGACGUCUUACUCAUCAACUUAAAUUUCUUGAAUUCUUUGAAACCUUUUGCAAAGUAUUCGGACUUGUGUUUAUUUAAAAUAAACUAUAGUCCAACCGAGGGUGAUCUUCGGUGAAUGUCAUACAACAUGAGUAGUAUUAUGUUGUGGACAUGUGCCACUAACAUCUAAGUGAAUUAACCUCAACAACUUUGUGAUUCUUUAUUCUUUCCAAAAGAAUAAAGAUUCAAACAUUUUGUCUCUAUACAAUUUUAACAAGAAGGUAUUGGAUCUGGAUCUAACGAUCCAAAGCAUCCAUCUAUGACCAACUCGUAAUUUAUGUUUUAGAGGUAUCACAACUCAGUUGGGAUUAGUCACUACCUGGCAACCUUUUGGGUUUUAAGCAUCAUUAUGUUCUAAACAGUUAACACUACCAUAUCAUCUCUACUAUAGAGACAAUUAAUUAGAUUACAAUAAUCCAAUCAUUAAUUAAUAAAGAACAAUGUUUUGUCAAUCAAAACAUUCAUCCAUCUCUACUAUAGUGACGGAAUUAAGUUCCUUAAAAUUGGAAUGUAAAGACAAUCUUUGG